CAAUUUCCGCCGCUCCAAGCACAGGGCAGAUUCCUCUCAAUUUCGGUUCCUUCUUCCUCUUUUAUUUUCCUUUUAUUAUUUUGUUUUUAAUUCAGCCAAUGAGUGGCUGAUUCUUUUAAUUCUAGUUGAGGAUUGGUUGAAACUAAGGUUGUUUAAUGGGUUGUGAGAUCUGAACAUAAAUUAUCGUCUUUGGUUUUGUUCAAUAUUUAUGCAAUUGAUGCUUUAAUUAUAUGAUUACUUUGUUGUUUUGAUCAAAUUGGCCACUUGGUUUUAAUUGCAAAGUUAAUUGAUUGUUAGUUGGGAUUAUUUUUAGUCCGUAAUUACUGGAAAUAUUCUGACCUUAGAACACUUGGCGUAAAAACCAAGGAAUUGCAUGAUCUAGCGUUAUCUCCAUACGUUUGGGUAGCUAGGAUUGGAUCUCUCUAUUUCUUUAUGCAAUUGACAAUUGUUUUGAUGCCUAUGACCCAAGGACGUUCCUUGGCAAUUUGUUAAUUAGUAAUUAAUUUAAUCAUAAGGAGAGACAUGGUGGUGAGAAGCGUCUUCCACCCCCAUAACUAAUCUAUUGAACCAAUCAAGAUAAUCUAAGUUUCAAUGAUCAACCCAAACAACCAAAGUGGAUCCAUAUCUUCAACUAGACUUCUCUCAUAUUGAUUUUCUCUUUUAUUUUAAUUAUUUGCUUUCUAUUAUUACUCUCAUUAUUAGUUACUACAAUCAAUCUCAAACCCCCCUAUUCUACUUUUAUUGCAAUUUAUUUUUAUUCUGCUUCCAGUUUAUCUCAUUUGAUCCCACUUUCAGUCUUUUAUCUCAUCUUUAAUUUAUUAUUGUUUCAGUUCAUUUUAUUGGUCUUGUUGAGAAAAAUAAAUAGGUAAUCAAUUCUCUGUGGAUUCGAUCCUUUCACCACUAUCUGCAGUUGUAAAAUUGUUGAUAACCAGGAAGGUUAUUUUUGACCGGCUUCGACAACCGCGAGUCAAAAAUUGGCGCCGUUGCCGGGGAAUUAAUUUCACUUGUUUGUUUGUUUUUUUUUUCAUGACCAGAUCUGAACACAGGGACACACUGCCCUUUGAUCCAAAAAUUGAACGCACUCUCAGAAGACUUAGAAAGCAAGCCGCAGAAGCUUCAUCUGAAGCAAUCGAAUUUUACCAACAAGCUGCACCAAUGGCUGAACCUAUUCCACAAGAUGCUGCCCCAAAUGGACUUGCUAUCCAGAACCAAAUAGUCCAAGAAAAUCCAGCAAAUAGGCCUCAAGAACAAAGAGAAAGAAUUAUGGGAGAAUUGGCAACCCCUGUAGGUGACUAUGCACCACUUUGCAUCACCUACCCACCUCUGACAGUUCCCUUUGAACUGAAGACAGGUUUGAUACACAUUCUCCCUAAGUUUAGUGGUAGAGAAAAUGAAAAUCCACACAAGCACUUAAAAGCAUUCAAUAUGAUCUGUUCAUCUAUGAAACCUCAAGGUAUCUCUGAAGACCAAAUUAAGUUAAGAGCCUUCCCCUUUUCAUUAGAAGACUUUACUAAAGAUUGGUUAUUUUACUUGCCACCUGGAUCUAUUACUUCUUGGGAUGAUAUGGUCAAAGCCUUUUUGAAUAAAUACUUCCCAACCCAUAAAUCAAUUGGUAUAAUAAGGGAAAUCACAAGCAUAAAGCAAAAACCAUCUGAGGACCUUUAUGAUUAUUGGGAAAGAUUUGAAACACUUUGCACAGAAUGCCCUCAACAUGACAUGUCAGACAAGGCCCUUAUACAAUUCUUCUAUGGAGGAUUAUCUCCCUUAGAAAGAAAAUUCAUUUAUGUAACCUGUGGAGGCUCCAUUGAAGACAAAACACCUAGACAAAUGAGAGAAUUAAUCUCCACUCUUGCAGCCUCAUCUAGGCAAUAUGGAGAAGAGAGGCAACUACAAAGGGCCAAUGAGGUAAAUUUUCCUUCUAUGUCUGAACUAACAUCUGUUAUAAAAAAUGCUGUGGUAGAUGUGGUACAGCAGAUUCAAGCACCCCAGCCACCUAGGCCAUGUGGGAUUUGUUUAUGUGUGGGACACCUAACUGAUCAAUGUUCCACACUCCAAGAAGACCAUCAGCAAGCCAACGCCAUUGGGAGGUACAACAACCAGCCUAGAUAUGAUCCAUACUCCACUACAUACAAUCCAGGUUGGAAAGAUCACCCCAAUUUUAGCUAUGGAAAGAGCAACAGUGAUCAGAACUACCAAAGUUACCAAAGAAAUCAAGCCCAACCAGCACCUUCAACUCCAAAUCAGAACCUUGAGAAGAUCAUGCAAACAAUGAUGGAAACAAUGGUGAGCACCAUGCAAGGCGUGCGACAAGACCUAGGCCAAAUGACCACAUCUAUGCAAGGCGUGCGACAGGACCUAAGCCAAAUGGCCACCUCUAUAGGCCAACUGCAAUCCCAAGGUAAGCUCCCUUCUCAAACUGAAACCAACCCCAGACAGAAUGUUAGUGCUAUUACUUUGAGAAGUGGCAAAGAGCUUCGAGACACUAAUCAUGAGCAAGAAAAAGAACCAAAGCCACCUGAAGCCUCUCCAUCGCAAUCUGCAGCUCCUCCUGCGCAAAAAACUGACCCAAAGGUAAGCUUUCACAUUCCACCUCCUUUUCCCAAGAGAUUUGAAAGAACACAAAAAGAAAAGGAAGAAAAGGAGAUCCUUGACACUUUCAGAAAAGUACAAAUCAAUAUACCUCUGCUAGAUGCUGUUAAGCAGAUUCCCAUAUACGCUAAAUUUCUGAAAGAACUUUGCACUAAUAGGAGAAAGCUUGCAGAGAGAGAAAAAGUAAGUGUAGGUGAGGUUGUGACUGCUGUUAUUAAAAGAGAACUCCCUACUAAAUGCAAAGACAAAGGUAUGUUUGCUAUCUCCUGCAAGAUAGGGAAUGUUGAUAUUAAGAAAGCCAUGUGUGAUCUUGGUGCAUCCAUAAAUGUCAUGCCUCUCUCCAUCUAUAAAUCUCUCAAUGCUUGUGCACUCAAAGAAACAAGAGUUGUGAUUCAACUAGCUGAUAGAUCUGUGGUAUAUUCCAUAGGUGUUCUAGAAGAUGUGUUAGUUCAAGUAAAUGAACUAGUCUUUCCUGCUGAUUUUUAUGUGAUUGAUACUAAGGAAGAUAGUUAUAAUACUAGUUCUGAUAUCCUUCUUGGACGUCCUUUCUUGAGUCCUGCUAGAACUAAGAUUGAUGUGCAUGAUGGUACUCUCACUAUGGAAUUUGAAGGGGAAGUAAUUAAAUUUAAUGUCUAUGAUGCUAUGAAAUAUCCAUAUGAUAUGUCACCUGUUUAUGGUCUUGAUAUUGUUGACUGCUUGAGCCAGGAAAUUUUUGACAAAAAUCAAGAUGAUAUUCUUAACAGUGAUUUCUGCAGAGAUACUGAUCAGGUAUAGAUUGAGAGCCAGAAAGAGCCAAAACUGAAAGAAAUUGUCUGUAGCAUCCAGCAGAUAGUUUACAGUCAAGCACAGAACGAGGGAAACUCCCUUCAGAAGGAUGCGCAGAAGAGCCUUGCGCCAUCUGAAACACCUUCAUGCGCAACUCUUCAGCUCCUAACGCAAAGCUCACCCGCGACUCUUCAUGCGCAACUCUCAUUAUUAGUUACUACAAUCAAUCUCAAACCCCCCAUUCUACUUUUAUUGCAAUUUAUUUUUAUUCUGCUUCCAGUUUAUCUCAUUUGAUCCCACUUUCAGUCUUUUAUCUCAUCUUUAAUUUAUUAUUGUUUCAGUUCAUUUUAUUGGUCUUGUUGAGAAAAAUAAAUAGGUAAUCAAUUCUCUGUGGAUUCGAUCCUUUCACCACUAUCUGCAGUUGUAAAAUUGUUGAUAACCAGGAAGGUUAUUUUUGACCGGCUUCGACAACCGCGAGUCAGAUACAAUCCCAUACAUGAUCAUACUUUGGCAUAAAAACUUAAACUUUUUCAUACACCAACCUUGACCUGUGCAUGCACUAUAACUGAAAACAUACAAACCCCAUACUAGAGCCCUCAUCAAAUGCUCUAGUUGGGUCAACACAUCAUAUGUCAAGCCUGAUUCAACAUAACUCAGCAUUAAAACAUUUCAUAUAGAUCAUGUACAAAAGGGAUUAACCAUACAUUAGGGCCAAGCACAAUUCUAAUCCUCAUUACAUCACUAUACAAUACUUUACACUACAUUACUUUAUUUUACAUACCAUGUCCACUACUAAUCUAUUACAUAACUAUAACUUUUACCCUUGACGACCUCCCAGUCUAUUCUGAACCUGCAAACCUGGGGGUUAAGAAAAAGGGGUGAGCUACAAGAGCCCACUGAGCAGAACAAUAAAAACAAUUUCUAAACAUAUGCCAUCAUAAAAUGCAUCACAUCACAAACAAUUCAUGUCACGGAUGGAUUUGUCACCAAUAACCCUCUACAUAGUCCAAUUGUGCCAGGGGCGUAGAAUGGGCCUCACUGGACUUCCAUACCGUAUCAUAACAUGCCAUAUCGAGGGCUAGUGGAUCAUCCAAUAUCCAUCCACAUCAACAUCAUAUUAUGCAAUGCAUCAUAUUCGUGAAUUCUAAUGCAAAACAACCUAAUAUAUAUCGUGGCAUUCGUGAUGCAUGGAUCAUGCUAAAAAGAUUUCAUUGCGUUGAAAAUAAAAGAAGUUCUGUUCUACUCACCUCUGGCUGACUCUGGACUAACUCUGAAGCAGCUAACACUGCUGGCCUCCUCGGUUCCUCGGGUUCGAUCCUACACAGGUGGACUCAAAUGAGGGACCAAACAAACUCUAAACAUCUCCCCAAAAACCCCCUAAAACAUUCAAAGAAAACAUGCAAAGGAAGGCUGAACAGGGCACUUUCGGUGGCAGGUUCGGCGGCCGAAAGUCCCUCCAGAGCUGAAAGUCAGGCACUUUCAGGGGCAGGGUUCGGCGGCCGAAAGUCCUUCCAGAGCCGAAAGUCACCCACUUUCGGGGGCAGGUUCGGCGGCCGAAACUCCCCUCCAGAGUCGAAAGUCCAAACUUUCGGGGGCGAGUUUAGGCGGCCAAACUGCCUCCACAGGCAGGUUCAGCGGCCGAACAUGGCUUCGACAGCCGAAAAUGGCAAAACCCAAUUCCGCCUCAUGCAUUCAGCCACCCAAAACUUCACAACAUGCAUUUAACCAUUCUAAAACAUGUAUAAACACUUAUUCAAGCAUAUAGGGGCAUAAAACUAGGCUAAACCCCAACAAGCAUCACAUUAAGCAUACAUUUAACAUAAAGGGUACAUAAACCCUAAUAUUAAACAACUAGCCUAAACAUGCAUUAAAACCCCUUAACCCUUCAUAAAACUUACUUAGAACAUAAAAGAAGAUAUAACCUACACUUACCUCUUGAAGAUCGAGAUGAGAGGUGAUCCAAACUUGGAGAUUGGGAGAAAUCGAGCUCCGGGGGUCUCCAAGCCUCAAAACUUUAAUCUUAGCUCAAAAAUAUUCAAAACAACGUAAAACUCAUCAAAAACUUGAAAAGAUUGAAGGAAAACAACAAAUCGACCAUGGAAGGGCAAAAUCUCACCUAUGCCCGAAAAUAGAGAGAGAAAACUCGCCCAUUUUCGAACAAGGGGCCUUUUAUAAGUGGCUGGCCAGACUACCUUUGGGGGCCAAAGGUACUUCCGCAAACUCCCCAUGUUCGGCGGCCGAACCUGAGUUUUCUUCCUUGGUCUUUUCUUUCAAAACUCAUUUUCUUUCUUUAUUAAAACCAUAAAAACACAUGAAAACACUUUAGAAAACCAUAAUUUACCCUUCUAUAGGGUUUCGACAUUCGAGGUUCCACUGGAAAGUGAGAAUUCUGAUGCCGGAGCCUAGCCGGGUAUUACAUUCUUCCCCCCUUAAGAACAUUCGUCCCCGAAUGUUCAAUAAACAAGCAUAGCAUGGCAUAACACACAUACCAACAAGGAAGCUGUAAUACCCGGUUAGACUCCGGUAUCAGAAUUCCUACCGUCCGGUGGAAUCUCGGAUGUCGAAAACCUCUAGAAGGGAAAAAUCAUGUUUUUAUAAAAUAUUUUAAUGUAUUUUAUGUUUUAAGUGAAAAGGAAAUUGAGUUUUGUAUGAAAAAGACCAAGGAGGCAUUUCCAGGUUCGGCCGUCGAACCUCAAGUUCGGCCGCCGAAGGUGGGAUGGUUUAGGGGGGCAUGUUAGGCUUCCGAAAGUCUCAAAAGGUUCGGCCGCUGAACCUCAUGUUCGGCCGCCGAACUUGCAUGAGAUGUGGGGGCACGUUCGGCUGCCGAAAGGUGGUCUGCCAGCCCUAUAUAAAGAGCUCCAUGGCCGAAACGGGCGAGUUUUCUCCCCAUUUUCGGCCACGGUGAGUUCAUGCUCUCCUUUGGUUCGUUUUUGAUGUUUUUCCUACGAUCUCUCACAUUUUAACAAGCUUUAUAUUGAUUUGAAGAGAUUUGAGCAAAAAGAGCAAGUUUGGAAGCUUGGAGACUAAAGAGUGGAUUUCUCCCUACCUCCAAGCUAGGAUCAUCUUUCCUCUAGAUCUUCAAGAGGUAAGUUUAGAUCCAACCUUUCUGGCAUGUUUUAAACUAGUUUUUAUGAAGAUCUAUGGGGUAGAAAUGCAUGAUAGGUUAUUGUUAUGUUUAUGGGUGUAUGUAUGUUUAUGAACAAUGUGGGUUGUUUGAUGUGUUGUAGAUGGGGUUUAGGAUAGUUUGAAGCCCCUAGGAGCUUGUAUGCUUGUGGAUGCAUGUUGUAGAAUAGGAAAAUGCAUGAUUGAAUGUGUUGGGAGGCGUUUAUGCAUGUUGAGCUGAGUUUCUGCCCUUCUGGGAGAAACCAGGUUAGGCAGCCGAAGGUUCUUUCGGCCGUCGAACCUGCCUGUGAUAGCAUGAAUCGGCUGCCAAACCCUGCCCCCGAAAGAUGACUUUCGGCUCUGGAAGGGACUUUCGGUCGCCAAAGGUACCGCCGAACAUGCAUGAGUUUCGUCUCUGGAGGGAACCUUCGGUCGCCGAAAGUGCCGCCGAAGGUGCAUGAGUUUCGGCUCUGGAGGGCCUUUCGGCCGCCGAACCUGCCGCCGAAAGUGCCCUGUUCAGCCCUCCUUUACAUGUUUUCUAUGGAUGUUUUAAGGUGUUUUAGGGGGUUUUUGGAGAGUAUUUUCAGAGUUAUGUUCAUAGAUGUUUGGUCCCUCAUUUGAGUCCACCUGUGUAGGUUUGGACCCGAGGAACCGAGGACCCCAGCAGUGAGUCAGCUGCCCCAGUGUCUGGUCUGAGCUAACCAGAGGUGAGUGGAAUAACUCUUUACGUUUUAAAAUAAAUAAUAAAUGAUUCAGCAUGAUUCAUGCAUCACGAAUGCCAUGUGAUAUAAUAGGUUGUUGCAUUAGAAUCCACGAAUAUGUUGCACUGCAUUCUUUAUUGUGGAUGUGGGUGAAUGCUGUAUGAUCCAAAUAGUCCCUGAGGAAAGACCAGGACCCCAUUCUACGGCCUGGCAUGGAAUGAAAGACCAGGACCCCAUUCUAUGGCCUGGCACAAUAUGGAAUGCGAAGACCAGGUGCCAGGUGCCAGAUGAGGCCCUAGGGAAAUGGUAAGUAAUGUUAUGAUAUGACAGGAAGACCAGAACUCCAUUCUACGGCCUGGCACGGAUAUGAUGCUGGGACUAAUUAGUGACAGGUUCACCCUUGAUGUGAAUUGUCUGUGAUGUGACUCAUUUCAUGAAAGCAUGAAUGUUAAUAUAUGUUUUUACUAUUCUGCUCACUGGGCUCUAGUAGCUCACCCCUCUCCCUUAACCCCCAGGUUUGCAGGUACAGGGUAGACCAGGAGGUCAGCAAGAGUAAUGAAGUCAUGGUCAUGUAAUAGCUAGAGUGGACAUGAUAAAUGUUGUUAUGUUAUGUUGAGUACAGUAAUGUAAAAGUAUGAUAUAGAAUGUCAUGUAAUAAUGCUUAUGAAAGUUUAUAGUUGUACUUGACCAUAGUAUUAUGUUAAUCCCUUCUAAUACAUGAUCUUAAUGUUUAAUGAUGCUUAUAUGAACCAAACUCAAUACAUGUUAUAUCACCCCUUUGGGGCAAUGAUGAGACUCCACAGAGAAGUUAAUGUUUAUGUAUAGUGCAUGCACAGGUUGAGUUUGGUGAAUGAAUGAAUGGAAAGAAAAGUUUAAAUUUUUUAUGUUUGUUGUUGAUCAUGUAUGGGAUUAAACAGGUUUACAGGAUGAUGUUAGGCUUACUACGGGUCCCGGCGGCCUUAUGCCGACCUGGAUCCUAGCGCUGGUAGCGGUCCGAAUUUUUGGGUCGUUACAGAUUGGUAUCAGAGCCCUAGGUUCAUAUGGUCGGACCUAGAGUGUCGGGCUCAUAGAUGUUAUAGAAGGUCAAGCACAAUAGGAAAAUCAUGUCUACUAGGAUAGGAUGUAGAGUCCUGUCUUGAUUGAUGAUGUGAAAUGCCAUGAGUUUAUGCAUGUGCAUUAAUGAUAUGCUAUGUAUGUGACGUAUGCGAUGCGGGUUCAUGUGUUUGCACAUGAACCAUUUGAUGCUAAUGUUUAUGUGAUGUGUGCUGUUUUUCAGUAAACAGGAUGAGAGGAACUCGUCGAUCUGCACGAUUGACUGGAGUACCACCCCAGGACGAGGGCACUGAUGCCCGUCCUCCUGCAUUGCCUAGGGCAAUGUCAAGUAGGUCCAGCAGAGAAAGAGCAGUAAGAGACCCUAGAAGGUCUUUAGAUCUGGGUAGAAGCACAUCAGUGAGGGGAACAGUGCAAAGGGAUAUGUCAGAGGAUGUGGGGGAUCAGAUGGAUGUGGAUCAGAAGAGGGAUGGUAGUCUCGGAGUAAGUAUGUCGGAAGAGGGAAUGAGAGAGUCCCAAGGAGGCACUCAGGCCUCGGGAUUUGUUCAGCCACCUUACUACCCAUCCUUUUCACAUAACCCCGGGUAUUCGAUGGGAGGUACAUCGGAUUAUCCCAGUUUUAACCCUUAUCCCUCUCAGAUGCCAUACCCACCUUUCUACCCACCGUACCCACAGUACCCCAUGUACCCACCCCCAUCUUUCUAUCCAGGUACAGCAAACCCUACCCCAGGGGAUGCUGCACCUCCUCCACCACCAGCAGCACCUACUGUCCCAGAAAUCCAAAUGCCUAAGCCUAGCUCAUCUGGGGGGAGCAAGGUCAAGAUGAUCGAUUACAUGAAGUUGGGUGCUCCCCAGUUUGAAACCGGUGAUGACCCAUUUGUGUACCUUGAGAGGGUCAAGACAAUUACAGAUGAGAUAGGAGCUGAUGACAGUAGAGCCAUCCAGAUGGCUAGGUUCACAUUAAAAUGCAAGAAGGCCCGAGAGUGGUUUAAGAAUUAUGUGAACCCGAGGUUGGAUAGUCUAUCCUGGGAAGAGUUUGCAAAUGAGUUUGCAGGAUGGGCUUUCCCUGACAGUUCCAAGGAGCUGAAAAUGAUUGAAUUUGAGCAGUUGAGGCAGACAGAUGAGAUGAGCGUGGAUGAGUAUACAGACAGAUUCUUGGAGCUGUUGCCGUAUGCUGGGCAGAAUCUGGACACAGAUCAGAGGAAGUCAAGGAGGUAUAUCAUGAGGCUCCAUUCCAUGUACUCCUCCUUGAUUCAGUCAGCAGAGAGGGAGAGUUUCCAUGCCAUAGUGGAUAUGGCUCGGAGGAUGGAGGCUAGUGCUAUCAUCGAAGGGAAAGUCAAGCAGUCAGUGGCACAGCCUUCUGGUUCCAAGACCCCAGGUGGGGGAAAGUUAGACCCUUCUUCUCUCAGUUCAGGCAGUAAGAGAUGGGGUAAGGCCAAGUCUAAGAAGAACAAGUUCUGGAGCAAGAUUAAGUCAGGUCUGGGAUUAGGUAGUGGCUCAAGCUCUGGUGCAGAUAAUGCAGUAUGUGCAAGGUGUGGUAAGCCACACAAGGGAGUCUGCCGGGCUAGGACGGCAGCCUGUUUCAGAUGUGGGCAAGAGGGCCACAUGGCUCGGGAGUGUCCUAGGGCAGCCUUUGGGGCACAGUCUCAGCAGACAGCUUCAGGUAGUGUGGCACAGCCAGUAGCUCCAGCCGCGACUCAGGCUAGUGGUAGAGGCAGAGAAAGAGGGGCAGCCUCUUCUUCAGCGGGUUUCAGGGGUGAGGGUCUGUCAGCUCCAGCACGGAUCUUUACCAUGACUCAGCAGGAGGCAAACACAUCCAACACCGUGGUGUCAGGUAAUCUCAUCAUUGGUUGUUCCGAUGUGUAUGCAUUAUUGGACCCUGGUGCAUCUCAUUCUUUCAUUGCUUCGAGGGCCGUCGAGAGAUUGGGAUUGAUGGUCUUUGGGUUAGAGUGUCCCCUAUGGGUCAGUGGACCCAAGUGUGACCCGUCAGUGGUAGAGUCAAUCUGCCAGUGUAGUCCAGUUUUUAUAGAGGGAAGAUGCCUUUCUGCCGACCUUGUGGUUCUAGACUUGAAUGAUUUUGACGUCAUUCUAGGGAUGGAUUGGCUAUCUACCCAUGGUGCUACCUUGGAUUGCAGAGACAAGGUAGUCAGGUUCAGAUGUCAGGAUGGGUCAGAGGUUGUCUUCAGAGGAGACAGGGGGAGUACACCUAGAGGUUUGAUAUCAGCCCUUCAGGCUCGUAGGCUACUCAGGAGGGGUUGUCAGGGUUUUCUGGCUCAUGUGAGGGAGCUGGAUAGUCAUGUUAGAGAGCCCGCCUCAGUGCCCGUGGUCAGUGAGUUCUUAGACGUUUUCCCAGACGAGCUGCCAGGUUUACCACCUGCUAGGGAGAUAGAGUUCGAAAUUGAGUUAAUGCCUGGAACCAGACCGAUCUCUAUCCCUCCCUACAGGAUGGCACCAGCAGAAUUGAAAGAGUUAAAAGAACAGUUGCAAGAGCUGGUAGAUAGGGGAUUCAUCCGAUCGAGUACCUCACCUUGGGGUGCUCCAGUGCUAUUUGUGAAAAAGAAAGAUGGAUCCCUUAGACUUUGUAUCGACUACAGACAGUUGAACAAGGUCACUACCAAGAAUAAGUACCCGUUGCCAAGGAUCGACGAUCUAUUUGACCAGCUAGCCGAAGCAGUUUGUUUCUCCAAAAUAGAUCUGAGAUCGGGGUACCAUCAGUUAAGAAUAAGAGAAGAGGAUGUGCCGAAGACAGCCUUAAGGACCAUAUAUGGGCAUUAUGAGUUCCUUGUGAUGCCGUUCGGGUUAACCAAUGCCCCUGCAGCAUUCAUGGAUCUCAUGAACAGAGUGUUUAGUCAAUACCUGGAUCACUUUGUUAUUGUCUUCAUAGAUGAUAUCUUAGUGUAUUCCAGGAAUGCAGAGGAGCAUGCCCAUCAUCUGAGGUUGGUUUUGCAGACCUUGAGGGAACAUGGCUUGUAUGCCAAGUUCUCCAAGUGUGAGUUCUGGCUGAGGAGCAUUUCAUUCUUGGGGCAUGUGGUGUCAGAAAAUGGAAUCGAGGUAGACCCCAAGAAAGUGGAAGCUAUAGCGAACUGGCCUAGACCCACUACAGUGACAGAGAUCAAGAGCUUCUUGGGUUUAGCAGGUUACUACAGGAGGUUCGUUCAGGACUUCUCUAAGAUUGCAGCUCCCAUGACCAGACUGACUAAGAAGAACUAGAGGUUUGCGUGGACCGACCAGUGUGAGGAGAGCUUUGAGGAGCUAAAGAAGAGGUUGACUUCAGCACCAGUGUUAGCUCUGCCAUCUAGUGAUGAAGACUUCUCAGUCUAUUGUGAUGCGUCCCGUGUGGGACUGGGUUGUGUGCUAAUGCAGAAUGAAAGGGUGAUUGCUUAUGCUUCUAGGCAGCUAAAGAAGCACGAGUUGAAUUACCCUAAACAUGACCUAGAGAUGGCAGUGGUGAUCUUUGCACUCAAGAUGUGGAGGCACUACCUUUAUGGGGUUAAAUGUGAGAUCUUCACAGAUCAUAAAAGCCUACAGUACAUCCUGAGUCAGAGAGAUUUGAAUUUGAGGCAGAGAAGAUGGGUAGAACUGCUCAGUGACUAUGAUUGCAAGAUCCAGUACCAUCCGGGUAAGGCGAAUGUUGUGGCAGACGCCUUAAGCCGGAAAUCACUUGGCAGUUUGUCCCAUAUUUCAGCAGAGAGGAGGCCAGUAGUAAGGGAGUUCUUCGAGCUCAUGAAUGAAGGUCUACAGUUGGAGUUGUCUGGUACAGGUGCUUUAGUUGCCCAGAUGAGAGUGGCACCCGUGUUUCUGGAACAGGUGGCUCAGAAACAGCAUGAGGACCCAGAGUUAGUGAAGAUUGCCAGGACUGUUCAGUCAGGCAAAGAUAGUGAGUUUAGAUUUGACAAUAAGGGGAUCAUCCACUAUGGGAGCAGAUUGUGUGUACCAGAUGACAUAGGGCUAAAGGGAGACAUUAUGAGAGAGGCUCAUAAUGCCAGGUACAGUGUUCACCCUGGAGCCACCAAGAUGUAUCAAGAUAUGAAGAAAGUGUAUUGGUGGCCAGCUAUGAAGAAAGAAGUGGCACAGUUUGUGUCAGCCUGCGAAGUGUGUCAGAGGGUGAAGCUGGAACAUCAGAAGCUGGCUGGAAUGCUUAACCCACUACCUAUUCCAGAGUGGAAAUGGGAGAAUAUAGUUAUGGAUUUCGUGGUGGGGCUACCGGCGGCGUCCAACAGAUUGGACUCCAUAUGGGUGAUUGUGGACAGACUCACCAAAUUUGCUCACUUCAUCCCUGUCAGGAGUGGCUAUUCUGUGGACAAGUUAGCGCAGGUGUAUGUUGAUAAGGUUGUCAGGUUGCAUGGGGUUCCUGUCUCAAUAGUGUCUGAUAGAGGGCCCCAGUUCACCUCCAGGUUUUGGCGGAGUCUGCAGAACGCUAUGGGUACCAGGUUGGAUUUUAGCACUGCUUUCCAUCCACAAACGGACGGACAAUCAGAGAGGACCAUCCAGACAAUAGAGGAUAUGCUCAGAAUGUAUGUGUUGGAUUUUGGCGGUUCUUGGAGGCAGCAUCUACCUUUAAUGGAGUUUGCCUACAAUAACAGCCAUCAUGCCAGCAUAGGGAUGGCCCCAUAUGAAGCUUUCUAUGGAAGGAAGUGCAGGUCGCCUGUCUGUUGGGAAGAAGUAGGAGAAAAGGCCUUGGCAGGGCCUGAGCUAGUAGAGAUCACCAGCAGAGUGGUGCCCAUAAUCAGAGAAAGGAUCAAGACUGCUGCAAGCAGACAGAAGAGUUGUGCAGAUAUCCGCAGAAGGCAAGUGGAGUUUCAGGAGGGAGAUUUGGUAUUGCUCAAGGUGUCUCCAAUGAAAGGGGUGAUUCAGUUUGGGAAGAAAGGUAAGCUAGCUCCACGGUACAUUGGACCCUUUGAAGUCUUGCAAAAGAUUGGGAAUGUAUCGUACAAGCUGGACUUGCCUGCUUCAAUGGAGAGAAUCCAUCCGGUUUUCCAUGUUUCCAUAUUAAGAAAGUUCGUGUCAGAUCCGGGCAAGGUUCUUAGUGAGCCUGAUGUGGAGAUCCAAGGGGAUCUCACCUAUGUUGAGCAGCCAGUACGGAUCCUAGACACCCAGAUCAGAAAGCUAAGAAACAAGGAAAUCCCGAUGGUGAAAGUCCUUUGGAAUCACCACAACAUCGAAGAGUGUACUUAGGAGACACGGGAGUCUAUGCUCCGGUAAUAUCCUAAUCUCUUCUAAGGUGAGUUUUAUAUGCUUUGUAUGAAUGUUUAUGUUUUAUGCUAUGCAUGUGUUGUUUGGUGAACAUUCAGGGACGAAUGUUCUUAAGGGGGGAAGAAUGUAAUACCCAGCUAGACUCCGGUAACGGAAUUCCUACCGUCCGGUGGAAUCUCGGAUGUCGAAAACCUCUAGAAGGGAAAAAUCAUGUUUUUAUAAAAUAGUUUAAUGUAUUUUAUGUUUUAAGUGAAAAGGAAAUUGAGUUUUGUAUGAAAAAGACCAAGGAGGCAUUUCCAGGUUCGGCCGCCGAACCUCAAGUUCGACCGCCGAAUGUGGGAUGGUUUAGGGGGGCAUGUUAGGCUUCCGAAGGUCUCAAAAGGUUCGGCCGCCGAACCUCAUGUUCGGCCGCCGAACUUGCAUGAGAUGUGGGGGCACGUUCGGCUGCCGAAAGGUGGUCUGCCAGCCCUAUAUAAAGAGCUCCAUGGCCGAAACGGGCGAGUUUUCUCCCCAUUUUCGGCCACAGUGAGUUCAUGCUCUCCUUUGGUUCGUUUUUUAUGUUUUUCCUACGAUCUCUCACGUUUUAACAAGCUUUAUAUUGAUUUGAAGAGAUUUGAGCAAAAAGAGCAAGUUUGGAAGCUUGGAGACCAAAGAGUGGAUUUCUCCCUACCUCCAAGCUAGGAUCGUCUUUCCUCUCGAUCUUCAAGAGGUGAGCUUAGAUCCAACCUUUCUUGCAUGUUUUAAACUAGUUUUUAUGAAGAUCUAUGGGGUAGAAAUGCAUGAUAGGUUAUUGUUAUGUUUAUGGGUGUAUGUAUGUUUAUGAACAAUGUGGGUUGUUUGAUGUGUUGUAGAUGGGGUUUAGGAUAGUUUGAAGCCCCUAGGAGCUUGUAUGCUUGUGGAUGCAUGUUGUAGAAUAGGAAAAUGCAUGAUUGAAUGUGUUGGGAGGCGUUUAUGCAUGUUGAGCUGAGUUUCUGCCCUUCUGGGAGAAACCAGGUUCGGCAGCCGAAGGUUCUUUCGGCACCCGAACCUGCCUGUGGUAGCAUGAAUCGGCUGCCGAACCCUGCCCCCGAAAGAUGACUUUCGGCUCUGAAAGGGACUUUCGGCUCUGAAAGGGACUUUCGGCCGCCGAAGGUGCCGCCGAACAUGCAUGAGUUUCGUCUCUGGAGGGAACCUUCGGCCGCCGAAAGUGCCGCCGAAGGUGCAUGAGUUUUGGCUCUGGAGGGCCUUUCGGCCGCCGAACCUACCGCUGAAAGUGCCCUGUUCAGCCCUCCUUUGCAUGUUUUCUAUGGAUGUUUUAAGGUGUUUUAGGGGAUUUUUGGGGAGUAUUUUCAGAGUUAUGUUCAUAGAUGUUUGGUCCCUCAUUUGAGUCCACCUGUGUAGGUUUGGACCCGAGGAACCGAGGACCCCAGCAGUGAGUCAGCUACCCCAGUGUCUGGUCUGAGCUAACCAGAGGUGAGUGGAAUAACUCUUUACGUUUUAAAAUAAAUAAUAAAUGAUUCAGCAUGAUUCAUGCAUCACGAAUGCCAUGUGAUAUAAUAGGUUGUUGCAUUAGAAUCCACGAAUAUGUUGCACUGCAUUCUUUAUUAUGGAUGUGGGUGAAUGCUGUAUGAUGUAAAUAGUCCCUGAGGAAAGACCAGGACCCCAUUCUACGGCCUGGCAUGAUAUGGAAUGCGAAGACCAGGUGACAGAUGAGGCCCUGGGUAAAUGGUAAGUAAUGUUAUGAUAUGACAGGAAGACCAGGACCCCAUUCUACGGCCUGGCACGGAUAUGAUGCUGGGACUAAUUGGUGACAGGUUCACCCUUGAUGUGAAUUGUCUGUGAUGUGACUCAUUUCAUGAAAGCAUGAAUGUUAAUAUAUGUUUUUACUAUUCUGCUCACUGGGCUCUAGUAGCUCACCCCUCUCCCUUAACCCCCAGGUUUGCAGGUACAGGGUAGACCAGGAGGUCAGCAAGAGUAAUGAAGUCAUGGUCAUGUAAUAGCUAGAGUGGACAUGAUAAAUGUUGUUAUGUUAUGUUGAGUACAGUCAUGUAAAAGUAUGAUAUAGAAUGUCAUGUAAUAAUGCUUAUGAAAGUUUAUAGUUGUGCUUGACCAUAGUAUUAUGUUAAUCCCUUCUAAUACAUGAUCUUAAUGUUUAAUGAUGCUUAUAUGAACCAAACUCAAUACAUGUUAUGUCACCCCUUUGGGGCAAUGAUGAGACUCCACAGAGAAGUUAAUGUUUAUGUAUAGUGCAUGCACAGGUUGAGUUUGGUGAAUGAAUGAAUGUAAAGAAAAGUUUAAAUUUUUUAUGUUUGUUGUUGAUCAUGUAUGGGAUUAAACAUGUUUACAGGAUGAUGUUAGGCUUGCUACGGGUCCCGGCGGCCUUAUGCCGACCUGGAUCCUAGCGCCGGUAGCGGUCCGGAUUUUCGGGUCGUUACAGAAGCACACAUAAAAACACAAAACACUAACCUUAGAAGAGAUAAGGGUAUUGCUGGAGCAUAGACUCCUGUGUCUCCCAGGUACAUUCUUCUAUGUUGUGGUGAUUCCAAAGGACUUUCACCAUCGGGAUUUCCUUGUUCCUCAGCUUUCUGAUCUGCAUGUCCAGGAACCGCACCAGCUGCUCAACAUAGGUGAGAUAUCCUAGAAUCUCUACAUCAGGCUCAUUAAGAACCUUGCCCGGAUCUGACAUGAACUUCCGUAACAUGGAAACAUGGAAAACCGGAUGGAUUCUCUCCAUUGAAGCAGGCAAAUCCAGCUUGUACGAUACACUCCCAAUCUUCUGCAAGAUUUCAAAGGGUCCGAUGUACUGUGGAGCUAGUUUACCUUUCUUUUCAAAACGGAUCACCCCUUUCAUAGGAGACACAUUGAGCAACACCAAAUCUCCCUCCUGAAACUCUACAAGCUUCCUGCGGACAUCUGCAUAGCUUUUCUACCGACUCAUAGUAGUCUUGAUCCUUUCUCUGAUAAUGGGCACUACUCUGCUGGUGAUCUCUACUAGCUCAGGCCCUGCUAAGGCCCUUUCUCCAACUUCUUCCCAGUAGGUAGGUGACCUGCACUUCCUCCCAUACAAAGCUUCAUAUGGAGCCAUCCUUAUGCUAGCAUGAUAGCUGUUAUUGUAGGCAAACUCCACCAAAGGUAGAUGCUGCCUCCAAGAACCGCCAAAAUCUAGCACACACAUUCUGAGCAUAUCUUCAAUUGUCUGGAUGGUCCUCUCAGAUUGUCCGUUAGUCUGUGGAUGGAAAGCCGUGCUAAAAUCCAGCCUAGUACCUAUAGCAUUCUGUAGACUCCGCCAAAACCUGGAGGUGAACUGGGGUCCCCUAUCUGACACUAUUGAAACGGGAGCCCCAUGCAACCUGACCACUUCUUCAACAUAUACCUGCGCCAACGUGUCCACAGAAUAGCCACUCCUGAUAGGGAUGAAGUGAGCCGAUUUGGUCAGUCUGUCCACAAUCACCCAUAUGGAGUCCAACCUGUUGGACAUUGCCGGUAACCCCACCACAAAAUCCAUAGCUAUAUUCUCCCAUUUCCACUCUGGAAUCGAUAGUGGGUUAAGCAUUCCAGCCGGCUUCUGAUGUUCCAGCUUCACCCUCUGACAUACCUCGCAGGCGGACAUGAACUGUGCCACUUCUCUUUUCAUAGCUAGCCACCAAUAAACUUUCUUUAGAUCUUGAUACAUUUUGGUGGCUCUAGGGUGAACGUUGUAUCUGGCAUUAUGAGCUUCCCUCAUAAUAUCUCCCUUCAGACUCAUGUUAUCUGGUACACAUAACCUGUUCCCAUAGCGGAGGAUCCCUUUGCUAUCAAAUCUGAACUCUUCAUUCUUGCCUGACUGAACAGUCCUGGCAAUUUUCACUAACUCUGGGUCCUCAUGCUGCUUCUGAGCCACUUGCUCUAGAAACACGGGUGUCACUCUCAUCUGAGCUAUCAAAGCACCUGUACCAGACAACUCCAACUAUAGCCCUUCAUUAAUGAGCUUAUAAAACUCCUUCACCACCGGUCUUCUCUCUGCUGUAAUAUGGGAUAGACUGCCAAGUGAUUUCCAGCUUAAGGCUUUUGCCACAACAUUUGCCUUACCCGGAUGGUACUGAAUUUUGCAAUCAUAGUCACUAAGCAGUUCUACCCAUCUUCUCUGCCUCAAAUUCAACUCCCUCUGACUCAAGAUGUACUGCAAGCUCUUAUGAUCUGUGAAGAUCUCACAUUUAACCCCAUAAAGGUAAUGCCUCCACAUCUUGAGUGCGAAGAUCACAGCUGCCAUUUCUAGAUCGUGUGUAGGAUAAUUCAACUCAUGCUUCUUCAACUGCCUAGAAGCAUAAGCAAUUACCCUCUCAUUUUGCAUCAACACACAACCUAGUCCCACACGGGAUGCAUCACAAAACACUGUGAAGUCUUCAUUACUGGUAGGUAGAGCUAACACCGGUGCUGACGUCAACCUUUUCUUCAGCUCUUCAAAGCUUUCCUCACACUGCUCAGACCACACAAACCUCUGGUUCUUCUUGGUCAGUCUGGUAAUAGGAGCGGCAAUUUUGGAGAAGUCCUGAACGAACCUCCUAUAGUAACCUGCCAAACCCAGAAAGCUCUUAAUCUCUGUGACUGUAGUGGGUCUAGGCCAGUUAGCUACAGCUUCCACCUUCUUGGGGUCCACUUCAAUUCCCUGUUCUGACACAACAUGCCCCAAGAAUGAGAUGCUCCUUAACCAGAACUCACACUUUGAGAACUUGGCAUACAAGCCAUGCUCCCUCAGGGUUUGCAAAAUUAUCCUCAAAUGAUGGGCAUGCUCCUCUGCGUUUCUGGAAUACACUAAAAUAUCAUCAAUGAAGACAAUAACAAAGUGAUCUAGAUACUGACUGAAAACUCUGUUCAUAAGGUCCAUGAAUGCUGCAGGGGCAUUGGUUAGCCCAAACGGCAUUACUAGGAACUCAUAAUGCCCAUAUCUGGUCCUGAAUGCCGUCUUCGGCACAUCUUCUUCUCUGAUUCUCAGCUGGUGGUACCUGGAUCUCAGAUCUAUUUUGGAGAAACAACCUGCUCCUGCUAGCUGGUCAAACAGAUCGUCGAUCCUGGGUAGAGGAUACUUAUUCUUGGUAGUGACUUUGUUCAACUGCCUGUAGUCGAUACAAAGUCUCAAGGAUCCAUCCUUCUUCUUUACAAACAGCACUGGAGUACCCCAAGGUAAGGUACUCGGUCGGAUGAAACCCUUGUCUAUCAACUCUUGCAACUGUUCCUUUAGCUUCUUCAACUCUGCUGGUGCCAUCCUGUAGGGAGGGAUAGAGAUUGGUCUGGUUCCACGCAUCAAUUCUAUUUCAAACUCUAUCUCCCUAGCAGGUGGUAGUCCUGGAAGCUCGUUUGGGAAGACAUCAGGAAACUCUCUGACCACGGGCAUUGAGGCGGGCUCCCUGACCUGACUAUCCAGCUCUCUCACAUGAGCUAGAAACUCCUGACAACCUCUCCUGAGCAACCUACGAGCCUGUAGGGCUGAUAUCAGACCUCUAGGCAUACCCCUCCUGUCUCCUCUGAAGACAACUUCUGACCCAUCCUGAUCUCUGAACCUGACUACCUUGUCUCAGCAGUCAAAGGUAGCACCAUGAGUAGAUAGCCAGUCCAUCCCUAGAAUGACAUCAAAAUCCGUCAAAUCUAGAACCACAAGGUCGGCUGGAAGGCAUCUACCCUCAACAAUUACUGGACUGAACCGGCAGACUGACUCUGCCACUGAUGGGUCACACUUGGGUCCACUGAUCCAGAGGGGACACUCUAACCCAGAGACAAUCAAAUCCAACCUCUCUACGGCUCUCGGAGCAAUAAAAGAAUGAGGUGCACCAGGGUCCAUUAAAGCAUACACAUCUGAACAACCAAUGAUGAGAUUACCUGACACCACGGUGUUGGAUGUGUUUGCCUCCUGUUGUGUCAUAGUGAAGAUCCGUGCUGGAGCUGAUGGACCUUCACCCCGGGAACCUGCUGAAGAAGAGGCUACCCCUCUCCCUCCGCCUCUGCCACUGCCCUAUGUCACGGCUGGAGCUACUGGCUGAGCCACACUACCAGAAGCCGUCUGCUGGGAUGGUGCCAUAAAAGGUGCCCUAGGACACUCCCGAGCCAUGUGUCCCUCCUGCCCACACCUGAAGCAAGCUAUUGUCCCAAACCGGCAUACUCCCCUGUGUGGCUUACCACACCUCAAGCACUCUGAACCAUCUGAACCUGAGCUUGAGCCACCACCUAAACCCAGACCUGUCUUCAAACGAUUCCAGAACUUAUUCUUCUUUGGCUUUUUAGUGGUACUGCCCCACUUUUUACUGCCUGAAGCUGCCGCACUCAGAGAAGAGGGAUCUAACUUUCUCCCGCCUGGGGUCUUGGAACCCGAAGACUGUGCCACUGACUGCUUAACUGUCCCCUGAAUGAUGGCACUAGCCUCCAUCUUCCAUGCUGCAUCCACUAUGGUGUGGAAGUCCUCUCUCUCUAUUGCUAAAAUUAGGGAGGAAUACCUGGGAUGGUGUAACAUCCUCAAAUCCAUAGCUAGAGUAGUGCCAUCACAAGGUAGGGUUAGGCUUUUUUUACUACUAGAGUAAGUGGCAUUAAGGGAGGUGCUAACUUAACUCUAAACUGCUAAUAAUUGAAUCAUAGAAAACUCAAAUAAAGAAAUAGACAUAUCCAGAUAUAAAGUAGCCAGUGUGAUUAGUGAGUCGGGAAUGAGUCACUUUCGGGAGGUGCUUAGGGUUUCCCGGCGUGCUUGCUUGAGGUGCUUGUUUAAAUCCGUCAUGCUUGCUUAAGUGAAAAGGACUUCUAAAAGGGUAAAUUUAUAGUUUAGUAGGUCAAUCUAUGAUUGUUGAAAGUUUAAAAACUAAAUUGAAACAUGGUAAAGAGUUUAGUAGGUUAAAAUGUAAAUAUGGAAAGUUAAAACAUAAAAUUAAGUUUAUUUCCAUGUGUCACCUCACUAAGGAAAGGAGAAAUGAUAAAGCAAAAUGAAAAAGGGAUUAUCUUCUCCACCAUUUCACUUUGCCGUAGCUCCCACCAUUGAAAACCAAAACUUUAUUUUGUCUUCCUUCCACCAAAGCCAAGCCAAAUCUCACCCAAUCAACUUCUUGCUUUAAUUAAAAUUCAUCUUAAGACCAAGAGCUAAAGGAACAGCCAUAUAUUGAAGGGAUUGAAGAAGAAAAGUUUAGGGUUCCAUAUGCACCAAGUUUGAAAAUUAAAGGUAAGCUUAGAAAAGUGUAGGAAAUAACAUCUUCUCAUUUCUUCAUGCAUGAAUUUGAAUUAUAAAUCUUUAAUUUACAACUUAUUCAAUCCUUUCCUAAGACAUAAAUUGACCUAGGUGAAGGAACAUCAAAGGGAAAGGAGAUAGCUAGAGAAUAGAAGAGGAAAAGAAAGAGGAAGUCAAAAAAGGUUUGGUGUUUGAAUGAUUUUCUGUUUUCCUUGAAUUUUAUCAUUGAUAUAUGAAGUUGGGGAUUGAUUUUACUUGCUGGAAAUGUUGCUUUGAUUGUAUAAAUGUGUCAUAUAAAUGUUAAAGUGGUGUUUGAAAGGCUUAGAGUAAAGAAAUUUAACAUGAGAGCUAAAAGUGCAAACCUGGCAGAAUAGGUUGUAACAGGGUAGCUUGUAUUGACAACGUCAUAACUUAUUGUAUAUUUAUUGAAAUUAAGCCUAAGAUAUAUCAAAUGAAAGCUGAGACAAAGAUCUAAAACUUUUAUGAAUUGACCAAAUUCUGAAUCUGUAGGUAAGAUGAUAAAAAUUUCAAGUGAACCUAAACUGGAUACAGAGUUAGUGCAUUCGGAAUAGUGUGUAUUGAUUGUACCAUAAUUAAUUAUGUACUCAGUGAAAUUUAUUAAAACAAGUGCCAAAUGAAUCUUAAGAAAUAUACCUAAAACUUUGUAGAAGACACUUAAGCUUGAAUUUGUAUGAAAAUGCAUGAAUCUGAUAUGUUUUGUGAUACUAUAAACAGGUACCAAUACUGGACUGUUUAAUAUCUUAUUGAGCAGCUUGUAAAGAAAAAUUCAUAACUUAAGUUAGAGUAUUCAUAAUUGCAUGAACUAUACCUUGUUGGAAAGAUAAGACAUAAAUGUACAUUUAUUAUGAGAAAUCGAAGUCAAAUUGUAACUCUAAGCUACUUGAAAAGUUUAUGCAAUAUAAGGCAGAAUGCAGUUUUCUCAAAUUGGAAGGCAGAAUGCAGUUUUCUCAAAUUGGAAUGCUAUGUUGACAAAGUUUUGCACCAUUUGCCAUGAAUUUCUCAUCUUAUUGACUUUGACAUAUGAUAUGUGUAUUUUGGAAAUGAAUUCAAAUAGCUUCAAAUGAUGUGCAUUUACAUUGAAUUAAUGAUACUUGGCCCUGGUAAACGUAAUAGGAGUCAAGGUUAGCUUAAGGGUAUGGCAUGCCAUAUAAACAUACAGAGUUCGCAGUACUGCUACCGAUACAUGAUCUAUAUUUGAGGUUACAUAUCAGGUACCUCAUAAGCAUGGCCACAAAGCCCUGCUAUCACAAUUUUGGCCUCUGAGCCUACCGUUCGGCACCCUGUGCCUACCAUUAUAAUUCCUUAUCUACCUAGUCGACCCUACUAUGUGGUUAUAAGGGCUAAGGACCUAAUUAAGGUUGAUACUUGUUUUGUGAAAUUAUCAGUGAAUGUUAAUAACUUUUGAUUAGCUUGAAAUUGUUUACUUGAUUAUCUGUAUAAGUGAACUUGUUUGCUUUAUUUUGUUAUUUGUUUUCUAUCACCCACUGAGCAUUAGCUCAGCGUGUUGGUUCUUACCUCACGCAAGUUGUAGAUAACGUAGAUACGCGGAGUUCAUCAGAUGUCUACAUCAGAUAUCAAAGCCAUUAUCAUAGCUGGUUGUUUUGAGUCUCUGAGUCAUAGUACAAUUAUAUUUUGGCAUGUAUAUAUUUAAUAGAGUGAGUUGUAAAGAUUAUGUAAAUCAAGGAAUAGUAAGAUAUCAAAUGACAGUUGUUAGUGUAAUUAUAAGUGUGAUUUUCAUAUGUAUUACAGGUUAAAGUGCUUAUGAAAUAGAGGAAAUUCUGCCAAAAUAAAUUUAGGUUUAAAAUCUCACAGUUACUUUAUUCACCUUAUAAAAAUUGCUUGGACUACCUAAAACUUGGUAUUUACAGAUAAAGGAAAUUGUUUAGUCUGGAUAUAUCAAAAGAGGCAUAGUUUGUGAUAUUCCUUGCUCUGUCUACACUUUGAUAGGGUAAGGGGUGUUACAGAUGGAGCCUCAUGGUAUACCUUCUAGCCUUCUUCUGAUCUAUAUCAUAAGCUCGGCUUACAUAUUGCAGCAACUCCAGAAACUUGUCUGUGUGUUCAUCUACACUCAUCUCCUCUGUCUGUCUUAACUGUUCAAACUCAACCACCUUUAGCUCCCUUGAACUGUCAGGGAAAGCCCAUCCUGCAAAUUCAUUAGCAAACUGCUCCCAGGAUAAGCUCCCCAACCUCGGGUCCACAUAGUUUUUGAACCAUUCUUUUGCUUUCUUUCACUUCAAAGUGAACCCCGCCAUCUGAAUGGCUCUACUAUCAUCUGCCCCCAGCUCAUCUGUUAUCAUUUUUACCGUUUUAAGGUACUCAAACGGAUCAUCUCCCGUCUUGAACUUGGGAGCAUCCAGCUUCAAGUAAUCGGUCAUCUUUACCUUGCUCCCCACAGAUGAGCUAGGCUUGGGUGUUUGGAUUUCAGGGGCUACAGGUUCUGCUGGUGGUGGAGGAGGUGCAGCAUUCCCUGGGUUAGAGUUUGCUGUAUUUGGAUAGAAAGGUGAGGGUGGAUACAUAGGGUACUGGGGAUAUGGUGGGUAAAAAGGAGGGUAAGGUAUGUAGGAGGGAUAUGGGUUAAAGCUGGAGUAAUCCGAUGUACCCCCCAUUGGAUACCCUGGGCCUUGAGGAAAGGGUUGAUACUGGGGUGGAUAAUCGAACCCCGAGGCCUGAGCGGCUCCUUGAGAUUCUCCCAUGCCCUCUUCCGACAUGCUCAUGUCCAAGCUACCAUCUCUUCUCUGCUCUUCCUCCUUUGAUCCCCUUACAUCAGCUGACAUACCACCCUGAACUGUUCCCCUUCUGCUUACAUCAAAAGACCUUCUAGGGUCCCUUGACAUUCCCUCUCUACUUGAUCUGUAUGACAUUGCCCUUGGCAAAGCAGGGAGACGGGCAUCCAUGCCCUCAUUCUCUGGUGGAACUCCAGUCAAUCGUGUAGAUUGACGAGUGCCUCGCAUCUUACUUCUGAAAAACAAUACAAAACACAAACAUUAACAUCAUAAGGUUCAUGUAGAAGCACAUGAACCCGCACCACAUACAUCACAUAUCAUUAAUGCACAUGCAUAUCAUCAUGGCAUUUCACAUCAUUAUCAAGACAGGACUCUAUAUCCUAUCCUAGUGGACAUGAUUUUUCCUAUUGUGCUUGCCCUUCUAUGAUAUCUAUGAACCCGACACUCUCUAGGUCCGACCAUAUGAACCCAGGGCUCUGAUACCAAUCUAUAACGACUCAAAAAUUGGACCGCUACCGGCGCUAGGAUCCAGGUCGACUUAAGGUCGCCGGGACCCGUAGCAAGCCUACAAACAUCCUGUACAUCUGAUACAAUCCCAUACAUGAUCAUACUUUGGCAUAAAAACUUAAACUUUUUCAUACACCUAGCUUGACCUGUGCAUGCACUAUAACUGAAAACAUACAAGCCCCAUACUAGAGCCCUCAUCAAAUGCUCUAGUUGGGUCAACACAUCAUAUGUCAAGCCUGGUUCAACAUAACUCAGCAUUAAAACAUUUCAUAUAGAUCAUGUACAAAAGGGAUUAACCAUACAUUAGGGCCAAGCACAAUUCUAAUCCUCAUUAUAUCACUGUAUAAUACUUUACAUUACAUUACUUUAUUUUACAUACUAUGUCCACUACUAAUCUAUUACAUAACCAUAACUUUUACCCUUGACGACCUCCCGGUCUAUCCUGAACCUGCAAACCUGGGGGUUAGGGAAAAAGGGUGAGCUACAAGAGCCCAGUGAGCAGAACAAUAAAAAUAGUUUAUAAACAUAUGCCAUCAUGAAAUGCAUCACAUCACAAAUAAUUUACGUCAUGGAUGGAUUUGUCACCAAUAACCCUCUACAUAGUACAAUUGUGCCAGGGGCGUAGAAUGGGCCUCAUUGGUCUUUCUCUUAACAUCACAUAACAUAACAUAUCCAAUGUGCCAGGGGCGUAGAAUGGACCUCACUGGUCUUUCUCUCACAUCGUGCUAGGGGCGUAGAAUGGGCCUCACUGGACUUCCAUACCGUAUCAUAACAUGCCAUAUCGAGGGCUAGUGGAUCAUCCAAUAUCCAUCCACAUCAACAUCAUAUUAUGCAAUGCAUCAUAUUCGUGAAUUCUAAUGCAAAACAACCUAAUACAUAUCAUGGCAUUCGUGAUGCAUGGAUCAUGCUAAAAAUAUUUCAUUGCGUUGAAAAUAAAAGAAGUUCUGUUCUACUCACCUCUGGCUGACUCUGGACUAACUCUGAAGCAGCACUGCUAGUCUCCUCGGUUCCUCGGGUCCGAUCCUACACAGGUGGACUCAAAUGAGGGACCAAACAAACUCUAAACAUCUCCCCAAAAACCCCCUAAAACAUUCAAAGAAAACAUGCAAAGGAAGGCUGAACAGGGCACUUUCGGCGGUAGGUUCGGCGGCCGAAAGUCCCUCCAGAGCCGAAAGUCAGGCACUUUCGGGGGCAGGGUUCGGCGACCGAAAGUCCUUCCAGAGCCGAAAGUCACCCACUUUCGGGGGCGGUUCGGUGGCUGAAACUCCCCUCUAGAGCCGAAAGUCCAAACUUUCGGGGGCGAGUUUAGGUGGCCAAACUGCCUCCACAGGCAGGUUCGGCGGCCGAACAUGGCUUCGGCAGCCGAAAAUGGGUUCUCCAAAAUGGCAGAACCCGAUUCCGCCUCAUGCAUUCAGUCACCCAAAACUUCACAACAUGCAUUUAACCAUUCUAAAACAUGCAUAAACACUUAUUCAAGCAUAUAGGGGCAUAAAACUAGCUUAAACCCCAAUAAGCAUCACAUUAAGCAUACAUUUAACAUAAAGGGUACAUAAACCCUAACAUUAAACAACUAGCCUAAACAUGCAUUAAAACCCCUUAACCCUUCAUAAAACUUACUUAGAACAUAAAAGAAGAUAGGAUCUACACUUACCUCUUGAAGAUCGAGAGGAGAGGUGAUCCAAACUUGGAGAUUGGGAGAAAUCGAGCUCCGGGGGUCUCCAAGCCUCAAAACUUUAAUCCUAGCUCAAAAAUCUUCAAAACAAUGUAAAACUCAUCAAAAACUUGAAAGGAUUGAAGGAAAACAACAAAUCGACCAUAGAAGGGUGAAAUCUCACCUAUGCCCGAAAAUAGAGAGAGAAAACUCGCUCAUUUUCGGACAAGGGGCCUUUUAUAGGUGGCUGGCCAGACCACCUUCGGGAGCCAAAGGUGCUUCCGCAAACUCUCCAUGUUCGGCGGCCGAACCUGAGGUUCGGCGGCCGAACCUGGGUUUUCUUCCUUGUUCUUUUCUUUCAAAACUCAUUUUCUUUCUUUAUUAAAACCAUAAAAACACAUGAAAACACUUUAGAAAACCAUAAUUUACCCUUCUAGAGGGUUUCGACAUCCGAGAUUCUGCCGAAAAGUGAGAAUUCCGAUGCCAGAAUCUAGCCGGAUAUUACAACUCUUCCCUGUCUUUUCUUGCAUUCCUCAGCAUCUCAUCCCUAAUAAGUCUUUCAAUUUCAUCUUUGAGUUGCCUACAUUCUUCCAUGGUGUGUCCAUGGUUCUCGUAGAAGUAGAAAUAAUUGGUCUUAUCCCGCUUGCUUGUCUUGUCCGGGUUAAGUUUGGCAAGUAAUUUGAUUUUUUUUUCCUGAUCCACAUGAGGAUAUGUAUUCGUGAGUCAUUCAAUGGAGUAUAAUUUUUAUCUUACCUCGAUCGUCCCUGUCUCGAGACACUAAAUAGCUUCUUUUUCCAUUUUCAUUACUUUGCCUAUAUGAUUUUUGUGUCUUAUUCAAACUUUCUUUCUUUCUUGUCCUUUCACAAAGCCUGCACUUCAUCAUCCAAGUAUAUGUAUUUUUGAAUUUUAUUCAUCAGCUGUUGAUAAGUGGCUGCUAGGUUUUUAUUAGAGAAUUCAUGAACUUUGUAUUCCUGGUUCCCUUUUUUAGCGCUUCGCAAGAUAUUUCAUGGUUUAAAUCAUCCACCUAUAUGGCUUCGACAUUGAAUCUAAAAUAAAACUCUUCAGGGACUCACCCUCAUAGAGGUCCGAGGAUAUUUUCUCUGAAGGGAUGUAUGUAAUAAAUUUAGAUUUAAAAGCUAUAGCAAGUUGAGUAAAGUUAUUAAUAAAACCUGUAUUCAGAUGCUAGUAUUAUUUCUGGGCUAGACCUAUUAAAGUAGAUGAAGAGACUCUAUACAAGAUAAAAUCAUUGAUGUCUUACAACUGCAUUGUGGUCCUAAAGAUUGUCAGGUGGCUCCUCAUAUAAGUGAUCCUAUCAUACUUGUCUAGGCUUGGCAAUUUGAACUUAUUGGGAAACAUUUUCACCAAAAUUUCAUCAAACAAAGGCAAGGCAUCUCCAAACUCAAAAUCAUCUUUCUGCUCCUUUUGAAACCUCUAAAAGGCAUGUACUAACUUCCAAUCUACACUUCUCAGGGCUUCGUUUGAGAAUUCUUCGUUCUCUACAUUUUCCUUUUCCUUGGAGUUUGCAUUUUCAAGCCUUGCGACUUGGUGGGAUGCUUCUCCCCUUGUCCAAGGUGUUCCCUGAAAGGCCUUCUCACUUAUCCUGACAAUUUCUUGGGAAGCCUCUUCCCGAGCUUUAUAUUGGUCCAGGGUGGCCUAUAACCUUUUAAUGUAUUGCACAAUCUAUUCAUUGUUCAAGGUGUUAAGAUCCAUCUCAAUUGGCACGGGGGGAGUGUUUUGUCCACUUUCUAAUGGGAUGGGAAUAGUAGUUCCCCUAUUUGCAGUGGAUUUGGUAAUAGCUCGAGGUCUACCAACCAUUGGGGUAAUAAGGAGAAUAAAAGAGUGAAAGGAGUAUUUAGAUAAGCUGAAUUUUCCAAACAAGGAGAACUCUUUGAAUUCUGGCAAUGGAACCAAAUGAUGUAGUCGAAAAUACUCCAUGUGAACUGACAAUCUGCAAAGAAGGAAAUUUGAGGUGGUUGGCACCUAUAAGGCAACCACUUUGAUACUCAAGUCAGUAGAUGCUUUGAAUGUGUACCUUAAACUCUACAUCCUUGUUGCUUUUAUACUGUAGGAAGGGAAGGUUAAUUGGUCGUUUCGUUGAAAAUUCGAAAUGUACUGGCUAGAAGAUAAAGGAUCUCGUAGCUAUAGGAAUUUUGGCAGCUGCAGCAUCAACAGUAAUGAGAUGAGGAGUUAGGCUCUACCUAGUGUGGCUCAAGCCUUAAAGUCAUGGAUGACCGAAAGUUAGAGUCUUGAGAGGCCGAGCCUAUACAUCUUCAGUUAUGAACCUAUCACCACUCAGGAUCUAUUGAGAUAGUGCCAGAGUGUAAACAUUGGGUAAGUACUGAGUCAAGUAGCUAACAAAACUAUUUUUUUCACUUAUUUUUUAAAAAUUUUAUCAUUUGAAUUUUUAUUGGAAGUAUCAGUAAUAAAAGGUGAAUAUUUUUAAUAAGAAAUUUUUUUUUUCUACAUAAAAAUAGAACUAAUUUUUUAAGUCAAGAGUACGGGGGAAUUACCCAUGCUCAAAAGAUAGCUUUCCCCUUAUUGCAAUUGUAUUUAGUUUUAAAACUUGAAUUAGAAAAAAAUUUGUUUUAUUGAUAUUACAAUAUCAUGUGUUUUAUUUUAUUAUACUUAUAUAAUAUAUAAAUAAAGAAUAUUAUUAUAAUAAAUUUAAAACUUUUUAAUAAUUUAUAAUUUAAUUCAGAUAUUUAAAAAUUGAUACAUUUAUGCUCAUUUACCACUAAAUUUUUGAAAGCCAUUAUUAUUCUUCUUGCCAUAUAGUCUGGUGCAAGGGACAACAACAUGGUUUCUUGUAAUAAAUUAGAUAGAAAUGAUGAAAAAUAAUGGAGGUUUGAAGGUAAAGAAGUGUAAAUUUAGAUAUUUUGAGUUAGAUUGUACUAAUUUUUAAAUUUUGAAUUAAUUUGUAAGAUAAUAAAAAUUUUUAGACUUUUUUAUAAAUAAUUUUUUAUUUAUGUAUCAUAUAAAUACAAUAAAAUAAAUCACCUAACAUUGCAAAGUUAACAAAUCUCAUUUCCCCAAUUCACAUUUCAAAUUGGAUAUAUUUAUAAAAAAAUUAUAAUUUUAAAGAAUUUUAUCAAUUUUUAAAGAUCUGAAUUAAAUUACAUAAUAGUGAAAAAAUGGAAUGUUUUUGUAAAUUGGCCUAAUAGAAAAUAUAUUUUAUUAAAUUUCAUUGAUACUAUUGCAACUCGUUGUAUGAUUCCUUUGGCCAAAUGAAAUUUAUAAUAUUUAGUUUAAUUAAAUUUUAUAUUGACAAUAAAAUAUAGUCGAAUUUAUUUUCCUUCACUUUAAGGUAUAUAAAAAAGUGGAUGAAACUUAAGUUAAAAUCUCCCUAUGAAUUUGUAAUAUUAUUCUUUUGUAAAAUGUAAUUUAUGAUUUUCUUAAUAAAGGAGAUGAUGAUGAUGAAAUUUAAAAGAAUUCUAUGCUGCAAUUGCUUUUUUCAAAAUAAACCAUGCUUCAUAAAUCACCUUCCUUGAACGUAUUUACAAAAACCUAUCUGAUUGUACAAAUCGCCAAGGGCAAACAAGUUAUCAAAGGAGGUGGUUAACCUGUGGGUGGUUAAUCUGAGAGGUUCUCUUAGUUUAAAUUGCCUGAGUACAAAUAGGAAUCACUAAUGCUACCAUCAAAAUUUACUUAGAUUCGAUGCACUAUGAACUCAAGACAUAGAUGUGUGAAUUUCAUAUAAUUUUAUAUAUAAAGUGAAGUAGGACCAUUUAGAUUUCAUCAGAAAUUUUAAUUAAUAAUAAUGUUUGGCCAAUAUGAAAUUCAGAAAAAGAAAAGUUAGAAAUCGAGAUUUUUUAUUGAAUUCUCAAAAAUUGAAAAGUGUCUCCAACAGUAAAGAAAAAUGAUUAAUUAUAAUAAUAAAAAAUUCUAAUGCGAAAAAUUACGAAAAAAUUUAAAAAAAUAAUUAAAAUGUAAAAUUGACCCUAUAAAUGAUGAACUUGGGCCUGAAACUUUGUGACGAGAUCUGUGGCCCUCCUCACACUUUUAAAAGUUAUCCUCCUUGAAAUUUUACUUUUCAGAAAGCUAUUGUGGGCCUCCAAUGAACGUCAGUAGUAGAAAUUAAUCCUGAUCCAAGUCUUCCAUAAAAUUUAAGACUAAUUGCUCUGAAUCAUUCACUUACACUUGUAAAGAAUUCGAUAUCAAGUUGUUAUUAGCAUGGUAGUACUGAAAUAGAUUCGGCACAUUAAACAUCUUGGAAAUUUUCAUAUAAUCAGGGGGUCAAGAACAUAGACAUUGCCAUUAAUCUUCUUAAUAAUUCAGAAUGGACCAAUCUUUUUUGGAUCAAGCUUUUUCUAUCCUCCAUCACGUUUUUUGUGCAAAUAUAUCAUAACUUGAUCACCGACAUUAAAGGACUUUAAACGCUUAUACUUAUCAGCUGCAACUUUAUACUUGUCAUUGGCUUCCGUAAGGCAUUGUUGUACCCAUUUGAAAACAUCCACAUGCUGAUUUGCCAAGUUGUUUGCUGCGAUAUUGUUAUGAAAACCUAUAGGAAGGGCAAUAAGAUCAACUGUAUGCACUCGAAUUUUCCUAUACACAACUACAAAGGGUGACAUCUUUGUAGAGUUAUGACCAGAACUGUUGUAAGCAAAUUCUACUAGGGCAAGAGCAAGAUCCCAAGUAGUUUUCUUAUUACUGCAGAUGUAACGCAGAAGAUUGCCAAGAGUGUGGUUCACCACUUUAGUUUGGCCAUUAGUUUGAGGAUGGGCAGCACUUCUGUAUCGAAGGUUAGUCCCGAAACGCUUUUAUAAAGUCACCCAAAAGUCAGCUAAAAACUUCACAUCUCUGUCAGAAGCAAUAAUCUUAAGUAAUAAUCUUAGGAAUGCCAUGUAAACAAACAACCUCCUAGAAAAAUAAUUUUAUAAUAUGAGACACAUUAUUAGUUUUCUUGCGAGAAAUGAAACGCGCUAUUUUAAAGAAUCUGUCAACGACAACAAAAAUAGAAUUAGAUCCACAUUGAAUAUGUGAAAGACUAAGAAUAAAAUUCAUAGAUAAGUCCUCCUAAGGAUAUUCUGGAAUAGGUAAUAGAGUGUAUAAGCUCGUAUUCUGCGAAUGACCUUCUAAAUUUGACAAACUAAGUACUUUUGGACCAUCAACCUGCAUUCUUUUUCAAUUGUGGCUAAUAAAAAUGCUCCUCUAAAUUAGUAAUAGUUUUAUCAUGUCCUAAAUGAUUACUCAAACCUCCUCCAUGGACCUCUCCAAUCAAGUUUUCCUACAAACAAGAACGAGAAAUACAUAAACCGUUAUCCUUAAAAAUAAAUUCAUCAUGUAUCAAAAACCCAUCAGCAGAAUGGUGAGCCUAUACCUUCACCCAUAUAUCAGCAAAAUCAUCAUUUGUAGCAUACAAAUUCUUCAAAAAUUUAAAACCCAUGACCUCCUGACUAACUGUAAUCAAUAAAGCAUCCCUCCUACUCAAAGCGUCUGUUAACUUGUUACUAAGGCCAGCCUUAUAUUUUCCCACAAAAAAGAACAAGGAAUACAUAACUUGUUCUCCUUAAAAAAAAUCACCAUGUAUUAAAAACCCAUUAGCAGACUGGUGAGCCUGGACCUUUACCCAUAUAUCAGCAAAAUCAUCAUUUGCAACAUACAAAUUCUUCAAAAAUUCAAACCUAUGACCUCCUAACUAAUUGUAAUCAAUAAAACAGUCAUCCUACUCAAAGUGUCUGCUAUCUUGUUACUAUGGUCAGUCAUAUAUUUUAUGAUAUAAUGAAAAACUCCAAAAUAAGCUGUCCGUCGAACAUGCAUCUUAUUCACAUGUUUUUUAGUCUUAAAAUGAAUAAAAAAUUGAUGAAUUGUGUGAAUAAUGAACUCCUGCCUAUUAAAUAUUGUUCUCAAGUCUUAAAGGCCCAGAACACUGCAUACAAUUUCUGCUCAUACCUUACAUCAUUCAAUUUCUCACUAAAGAAGGCAACAGACCUACUACACUGCGAUAACACACCACUAAUCUCAACUCCACAAGUAUCACAUUCAAUUCCAAACAGUUUAUCAAAAUUAGGUAGAGCAAGAAUAGGGGUGGAAGUAAGCUUAUCUUUAAUCUGCUCAAAACUUUUGUUGGCAGUUUCAGUCCAAGUAAAUUUUUGCACUUUCUCUUUUUUCAAACAAUCUGUGAUAGAGGCAACGAUAUUAUUGAAAUUUCUGAUAAACAGCCGAUAGAAAGUGGCAAGUCCGUGAAAGCUGCGAGCUUCUGAAAAUUUUUUGGGAAUGAGCCCGUUCAGUAUUGCUUCUCUAUUCUUAUCAUCAACAUGUAUCUUUUCUACACUAACAAUAAAUUCAAAAAACAGAACGUGUUCCAUCAUAUAAAUGCAUUUUUUUAAAAUUAAUAACCGGAUCAUUUUCUUGCAAGAUUAUCAUGAUAUAACAGAAGUGUUGUAAAUAUUCUUAUUCACUGCUCUAAAAAUCAAAAUAUCAUCUAAAUAAAUAACGACGAAUUUGCAUAAGAAAGGACGCAAAAUCUGGUUCAUAAAUCGCAUAAAUAUGCUACGUGCAUUCGUCAAACCAAACGACAUAACUAGCCAGUCAUACAAACCUUAGUUUUUAAAGGUUGUCUUCCAUUCAUCUCCCUCAAUUCAAACUUGAUGAUAGCCACUUUUAAGGUCGAUCUUAGAGAAUACUUUAAACCCUGAUAAUUGAUCCAACAUAUCAUUCAGGCGAGAAAUAGAAAAUCAAUACUGAACCAUAACCUUAUUGAUGGCUCUACUAUCCAUUCACAUUCUCCAAAUUUCAUUUUUCUUUGAAACCAAUAAGGCAGAGACUCGGCAGGGGCUAAUGCUCUCCCAAAUGUGCCCCUUCUUCAAUAAAUUUUCAACCUGUUCUUGAAGAAUUUCGCUUUUCUAUGGGCUCAUCUUGUAAUGAGGCAAAUUCAGUAAUUUGGAUACAGGAAUGAGAUCAAUCAGAUGUUGAAUAUCCCACAAAGGUGGAAGCUUUGAAGACUCCUCUACAGCUCUUUGACGAAUGGUGGUAAAGAUAGUGCAUCCUCCACUUCACCUUCUGCUCUCACUAAUAAAACAAUGUGCCUCCAGAUUCUUCAAUUGUGUUUGAUAGCCUUUGCACUCCCGUAGAGAUAACAACAAUAGUUUUCCCUUCCACUUUAGAAUGUUUCACAGAAUCAAAAGGCAAAAUAGUAAUCUUCUUUUGAUUCCAUAUAAACAUGUAUGAAUUCUCCUUCUUUUUGUGCAAAGCAUCAACAUCAAACUAUCAAGGACGACUUAAUAAAAUUCCACAGCAAUCCAUAUCCACAACAUCAUAAUUAAUAGAUUUAGUGUAAGAUUUACCGCUCGAAAUAUGCAUGUUGCAAAUUCUGUUGACUUCAAUUGUCGGACUUUUCUUAAUCCAUCCAACUUUGUAUAGCGAAGGGUGAGGCUGUAUAGGCAACUGCAAUUUCUCCAACAAUUGCUUAGCUAUCAGAUUCUUACAACUGCAACUCUCUAUAAUUAGCUUGCAAAUCGUUUCUCUCACUCAACAAUUUGCCUGUAAAAUCUUCCUCCUUUGUUUCUCAUCCUCUUGUUUCGUCAAACAUAAAAUUUUCUUCAUAAUAUAGGCGAUCUCUCCAUCUUCAGAACCAGCAAUAGAUCCAUCAUCUUCAUCUAUUUCAUCCUUAGAUUCAACCACAUUAACCUGUCGAUGAUCAUUAUUAAUUCUCCUGCGUUCUGAAUAAGUAUUCAAUCGAUAUCCAAAUUGUCUGUAACGAUCACAUAUUUCUUCGGUUGAUUUUUUAUAAGAAUUGAUUUUACCUCCUUUCUCUGCUGUGUUGAUGACUGCCUUUCCCUUACUGUCUCUCAUUUCUUCCUUUCUUUCGCUCUUUUCGCCAUCUCAAUAGCAUGUGCCAAAGUGAAAAUCGCAGCUACUUCCAUCAUAUAACGAAUUUCAUAAUUCAGUCAUCUCUGAUAAUGAGCAACCUGCUGGGCUUCGUUCUCACAGUUAUCACACUUCGCUUACAACUUCAAAAACUCCUCUGUAUAUUUAUCCACCAUUCGACUCCCAUGAAUACAGUCAUGAUACCGGUUAUACAAAAUAUGGGCGUGAUCACUAGGUAAGAACCGUUGUUCAAUCAUCUGCUUCAUCAACAACCAGUUUCGUAUAGGUUCCAGCUUCCUGUGAUAGAGUUUGUUUUAAACAGAAUUCUACCAUGCUGCUGCUCCACCCUUUAAUUUAUAAGCCACAAUUAGAACCUUUCAAUCCUCUUUCACGUUCAUAAUUUCGAAAAAUCGAUCAACCUCCGUUAACUAAUUAAGAACAAAUUCUACAUUCUACAAAUCAGAAAAGUUUUGAAGGUCUAUCUUUAUCUUGUAACAUUCGUGAUAAUCCUGUUGGAAAUUUACAACCACAGGAUUUGGAACUUGCUAUGGACGUCUUCAAAAAAUCGAUCAACCUCUGUUAACCAAUUAAGAACAAAUUCUAAAUCUUACAAAUCAGAAAAGUUUUAAACAUCUAUCUUUAUUUUAUAACCUUCGUGAUAAUCCUGUUGAGAAUUUGCGACCAUAGGAUUUGAAACUUACUAUGGAAGUUCAACUGCGGCAAGUUGGUUAUUACCUCGUUAUAGGGCUAACUGUUCAAUCAUCUCUCUCAAUUCUACUAAGGAUAUCUCAAUUGCAGUAAGUCGCACCUCUUAAUUGUCGGCCAUGGAUGAACUUUGCUCUGAUACGAACUGAACUAGAACUGUUUAAACUCCACCAUGACUUUUAACCAAUAACAUUUGGUUACGACGAGAAUUCAGAAAACGAAAAGCUAAAAUUCAAAAUUUUUUUAUUGAAUUCUAGAAAAUUAAAAAGUGUCUCCAAUAGCUAAAAAAAUACUAUUUAUAAUAACAAAAACCCUAAUUCAAAAAAUUAUUAAAAAAUCUAAAAGAAUAAUUAAAAUACAAAAUUAACCCCUAAAUAAUAAAAUUUAAACUUUGUAAUAGCCUGUACCCCUUGUCAUGUCACACUUUUGAUAUUCAUCACUCUCGAAAUUUCCUUUCCGGACAGCUAUUAUGAAUCUUUAACGAACAUCGACAGUAGAAAUUAAACCCGAUCUAAAUCUUUUAUAAAAUAUAAGGCUAAUUGCUCCGCAUUAUAAAUACCCACAUAUUUAUGUAUUGAAUUCAUAGUGUACUGGAUUUAAGCAAUAAUUGCCUAAUCCCACAAAUCAAAUUAAGCAUACUAACUACUGACAACACUACCUUCUGGGUAACUCUGUGAAACGGUUGUAAGAAGUAGCCGGAGUUUUCAACUUCUAAUUCCACUUCCAAUUUAUUGGUUGAACAAAUAAUUUACUCAUACACAAACUGAAAAGAGAUCGUUUACAUUAUACAUCCUCAUAUAACACAAGAAAAGAUACCAGCAAAGAAGCACACCCAUUUUACCAAAGAAGAUGUAGACAAAGCAUAAUUAGGUGAAGAGAAAUGAAAAGGAACUUCCAUCUUUGACCGAUCAUCGAAGAUUUAUUUUCAUCAGGACCUAUGUUCAAAAGUGAAAAGAGCAAAAUUAGUAAGUUUAUAGCCCAUACUAUGAGAAAAUUUAUGCAGUAUCACCGUUGUUCUGUGUAGACAAUCUUAUAUGGAAUGCAAAACUAAUGAAAGUUGAACAAAUAGAUAAAUAUACCCAAUAAAUAGAUGAGCAAACCUAAAAAAGAUGGUAACUAACUAGCAAGUUUCUUGUUUUUCAAAAAAUAAAUUACUUUUACACAAAAUGUCUCUACUCUAUUAAUUUGCCAUACCAUGUAAACAUCUUCCAUGGUAUAACUGUGGUACUGUGUAAUUUUUCCCAUACUACACAAGUUACGGGCUGUUUAGGAAUAUUACUAGCAGAAGCUUGCUAAAAUAUUAGUUAAUGCAAUGAUAUACAUCUACAAGACUAUAACACUAUUAGGUUUAGUUUCAAUUAUGAUUUGAAUUUCUCAUCGAUUUCAACACAAUCAUUAACUUUUGGUUCUUUUUAACAAAUCACUCAGACUUCAAAUUUUUAUUUCAUUUUCUUAUAGACCUAUAACAAUAUUUUUGGGUCGAUGACCAAGUAACCAUUCUAAUAUAAUUCUACUGGUUAGUAGGAUUGUGAUACUUAGCCGUUACCAUUAAAUAAAAAACUAUGGCUAAAUCUAUAUAAAAAUACAAUAAAGCUCACAUUAUUUAAGUAAAAUUCAAGUCCUAAGCAAUUUUGCUAACGUGUAAAGAAAUUUGAUACCUGAGUGCAAAAGGAGAAACAUAGAAAUUUAAUAACUACACUGGAAUUCAAUGAUUUCCGUAACGACACACCAGCUAUAUGCAUAUUAACCUUUUUAAUAUCACUACCAAUAUGUUAAAACAAGUUUAACAUGAAAAUUAUGAGAUGGAAGGCGAAAGUUAAAGAGUUGGUGCAAGCACUUCUACGGUUCUACCUGGAUUGCUGGCUGGACAAGUGUUUACUGUCGCAAGUGUUGUCAAUAUGCUUUGGUUAGAGAACCCAGAAUAGUCACAGGUUGUUUGGUUGCAGCCUACGGCAGUAGUGUUUCCAACGGAUAAAAUGUCUAGCCCUUCACAUAGCAUGGAAGGACAAGUUUGCCAGGUGUUGUUAGCUGGUCUAAGCCCAGAGGGUUGACAUUGUAAUCUGGAGAAUGAAAGAAAAUUAUAAAGAAAACAUAACUUUCAGGGAAUAAAUUUGGCUAAAUAUUUCAACAUGUACACUUACGUCCAGUCUUUUGCAGAAUCACAACUGCAUCUCAUGCAACCGUUAGCAGUGAAGACAUAAGUGCCAUUAGAAACGAGCAAAGGGUAAUCUAGCGAGCUAUUGCUUACGGAUGAAUUGCAAGCUGUGAAUAGAGUAUAACAUCAUUAAUCCAUAUAAAAUAACAGAAUAAUUCAAACUCAAAAUACAUGAAGAUCAAUAAAGUUCCUGCACUAUCUGAGCACACAUAGCAAAAAGUAGUUACCAUUUCAUCCAAUUAUAUGCUUUCUAAUUGAAACUGUUACCGAUUGUGACUCCAUUUCUGUACUUUCUAAUCAACAUGCACAUGUAUGGUUUCCUUAAACUCUAAAUUUUCAUAAAUUAAUAAGAUUACACUUGUUUAACUUUACCAAUUUAUAAAAAUUCAGAGCGAAGUUAGCAAAAUUCAGCCUAAAACUAUUUGAUCAGCCAAUAGUUGAAUCAACUGCAUGCAAAUUUAGUAGGGGAUGCUUCCAGACGGUUACACCAAUAAUAUGGAGAUUGCAAAGCCAAAGCUUUAAUCAUAAACAUCACAUAAAGCUUGUAAACCAAUGAUCAACUGCUAAUCUCACUUCCAACAAGCAAAUUUAUUACAUAUUAUCUAAAUCAUCAUUGUUUUUUAAUUUGUUUUACAAAAGAACAGGGAGACAUGUACUUAUUAUCACCAUCCACUCAUAAACCUACUUUUCUCAACAUUAUGCUAAAAAGGCAAAAAUAUUUUUAUUGAACGUUGGGAUGAGGACAUAUGCCUGUCAUGAUGAAAGAAUAGGAGAAACAUGUCAUAUAGAAAAGAGGACCCACAUAUUAUAUGGACAAUUGCUAAAGCUGUAUGCAAUAAAUGAGUCCUAUAAUAUUUGCUAAAGCUUGUUUGUACAGCAAUUGAAUCAGUGGUCACUACUGGCAUAGAAUACAAGACAAAAGUGAAGUGGGCACCAUAUAUACUACAGAGUCGAUUCUUAAAACAAAAAAAAUUUUGAAAUUUUAUCUAAUCAACUAAAAAGAAGAACAUAAUUUUUCUUGAUCCAUUCUCUAUCCUCUAAAAUUAGUAAUUCAAUUUACUUUUCUUUUAUCAAAUUUUCUUUAGAAUAGAAGAAGUUCUAUUAUUUUUUAAUUUACAAUAUUUUUUCUUUAUAUUUUUUUUUCUUAAAUAAAAUAAAAUGAUUCAUGCUUAGAAUUCAUUUGAAAAUUUUCCUUUUCUUUUAGGGGAAAAGCGAAAAGAAAAGCUACCCAAAGAAAAAUGAAGAGCAGGGGAGAACGAAAGUGAAAAUGAAAGAAAAGAAAGAAAAACCUCUGAGGGGUACAUCAAGAACUUGACCAGCGAUGAGAGAACUAUCAUUAGCAAUUGAAUUAAGCCUCAUAAGUGUAUUUUUAGUAGUGCCGUAUUCCUGUGCAAUCAACUCCAGCGUGCUCCCAGAUUCCACCACGUGUCCAUAAUGGACCACUUUCUCUCCAUCUACCUCAUCGCAGCUGCACGGUAAUGGAAUCCAUAGCUUCUGCCCUUUAAAAAUCAAGUUCACGUUCGAUAUAUUAUUAACGGCCGCGAUUUCUUGAUACGUCACCAAUCCCGAGUACACCUCCCUGGCUAUAUGAUCAAGGCCGUCGUCUGGUUGGACGGAGUAGAUGGGUUUCUUAUUGGAGAUGCCAGCGCCAUUGGAGCACAAGCAAGAGAAGGGGAUCUUGAUAGUCUGCUUAGCUGCUAGAGUUUGGUUGGGUAAGGUGGAGAGAGGGAAAUUGUUAGCGCCGAGGAGGGUGCGAAGGUUUUUGAUGGAAAAGAGGGUUUCUAUGGCGGAAAGUGUGGUGACAUUUGAAGGGACAUAGUCGAUCACAGCGCGGCAGGAGGCGGAUGUUGCGCAUUUGAAGGGCUGCGACAGUGAAGUAGUGACGAGAGCAGCAAAGAGGAGUAGUAUUAGACUGAGAAGUAGAUGCGCAGAAGGAAGAGCCAUUUGUGGAUUGGAAUGGAGUUGUUGCGCGAUGUCCAAAGAAGAAGAUGAGGGCAGAAUGGGGUUUUUGUUGGACUUGAAUAAUGCUCGCGCAGAGACAAUGACUUGAGUUGUGUGGAUUUGUGGAAGAGGAGAGUGUUAUUUAAAAGGAAAAAUUAUACUAUAAAUCACUGAUUCCAGCUUAUCAAUCGCAAUAGUUACUUGUUUGAACCUUAUUAGUUUUUCCUCCAUUUUAAAAAAUAUAUUAAUUAAUUUUAAAAAAUCAUGAAUAUUAAAAAUUUUAAAAAUCAUGAAUAGUUAUAUAAUAUAAAAAAUUUAAAAAUAUAAUUUAUGUGAAGAAAAUAAUUAAUAAAUAAUUUUAUAAAAUUAAAUAAUUAAUAAUUUUUUUUUUCAAAAGUUAAAGGCCUUUAUUUCAUAUAUAAUAAAGAGCGGAAACUUUUUUAAAAAUUAAAUUUUUAAUAAGUUGACCGUUUAAUAAAAAAGUAAUCGCUUUAUCAGACAUUCAAAUUAUUUUCUAGUAAUGCANNNNNNNNNNNNNNNNNNNNNNNNNNNNNNNNAAAAAAAAGAAACCGAAAAAGAUGCUUCAGAAAGUUCAGCGGCUUCAAAUUGGCACCCGCUGCUUGUGCCUUAUUGAAAAUAAAUUUUUUUGCAAGAAAAAAUUUUAAUUGAUUUUUUUAUAAUUUUAUAUAUAAAUUUUACUUUUUAAAAAAGAGAAUUAAUAAAGGAAAUAAUUAAUUAAAUUAAAUUAAAUCAUUGUAUUUUUUUUUAAUACCAAACCACAUAUAUGAAUAACUACAUAGUGUGAACAUAUAAUUAAUCUAAGAUUAUAUUCAAUAUGAAAUCCCUUAAUUCCUGCACUUUGACCAUUUAUUUUGGUAUAUUAGAAAUAAAAAAUAAAAUUAUUAAAAUUAUCUUUAACAUUGUGAAGUAUUAAUUUUAUAUUUAAAUAAAAAAUAGAAAAUUCAUUACAACCGAGGAAUAUAAUAGAUAUUUUAGCUUAACUUCGGAAAAAUUAAUUAAUACACACUCAACAAUAAGUGUUUGUUAAUUAAGAGAUUUAUUAUUAAAAUUAUUUAAAAAGUUAUAUGAGAUUUGUGAUUAAAUUUUUUAAAAAUUAAAUAAAAAUGAUAUAAUAAAAUAUUUAAUUAAAUUGAUUUACAAAUACUAAAAUAAAAAAGCUGAUGCUUAAUCGCCAUGGUUAUUGGUGUAAACGCGUUGUACAUGUGAACAAACUCUUGAUUUUUUUUUUAAUCAGUGAAUCGUUGAAUUCACAUCAAUUUUUAAGUUGAAUUUUUAAAGAAAGCUUUCACAGUGAAACAAGAAAGAGAAAGUCCGAUCGAUUUAUUUUUUCCAUGAGAGGAGGUUUUAGCUCCUGAGCCUCCUUCUAUUAUUUUAUUCUCAUCAUCUUGUUUAUUUCAUUUAUUUUGUCUAUGUUUAAUGAAUUUGAUCUCCUGUUUAGAGACUUUAUUGAUUUUAGUAGUGUUCGGGGUAUUUCUUGCUGCUCGGGGGAGAAUCUUUAUUUAUUGACGCCAUCAAGUUAGAACUACGUCGCUAUGUUCAAUGACCAACGUUCCUAAAAAACUUUGUCGCAUCUCCUUUCUUGAUGUUGUGUUUGCUUGUUUGUAGAUUUGGACUUUGUUAGAGUUUCAGGCCUUUGUUUGUUGGUGGUUGUUCUUAUUUGCAUGGGCAAAUUUUGGGUUUGUGAGCUAAUUGUCGGAUUUUUUUAUAUUUUUGCUCUUGAUUGUCUACCGUUUGGAUUGCAUGUCUUUGUGGUGUGUGUUGAUUUCUUUUCUAGGCAUAUAUAUGGUUUUUUUUAACUUUUAUUUUUAUUUUUUUUAGCUAUGACUAGUGUAGAAGCGGAGGCUAUGGCACAUAGUAGGGGUGAGCAGUAUUCGGUUCAAAUCAAAAAAACCAAUCGAAUCGAACUGAUUUAAAAUUUUAGUUCGAUUUUUUAUAUAUUUCGGUUUGGUUCGGUUUUUAAUUUUAAAAAUUUCGGUUAUUUCGAUUCGGUUCGAUUUUGAUCAGAAAAAAUCGAAAAAACCGAAUCGAACCGAUUAGUAAUAAUAAUAUGUUUUUUCAAUAAUAUAUAGAAAUUAAAUCAUAUUAAAAUUAAAAUAUUUUAAUUAAAUUUUAAAAUAUUAAAAAUAAAGUGUAAAAAAUAAAAAAAUUAUUAAAAAUCAAAAUCGAUCAAACCGAAUCGAACUGAAUCAGACCGGUUCGAUUCAAUUCGGUUUCUAACCAAAAUCAAUUCGGUUCGAUUUUUAUAAACACUCAAAUUUCGAUUUUCGGUUUAUUCAAUUCAGUUCGGUUUUGAACCAAACCGACCAAAUGCUCACCCCUAGCACAUAGACUUGCUUUGGGAGUUGUUUGCGUUAUUCACUUGGAUGCGUCAGUUUAGCUUUAGAUCUAGUUUUUCUUUAAAACUUAUAUUUCUUUAGGUCUUUGAGCCUUUUAAUAUAAUCUUAUUUAUAUAUAAAAAAAACGAAUCAUCGACCACUUUACAUCUUUACAUUAUCUAACUAUAGUUCAUAUCUAUAUUAAUAUAAUAUGAUUUCAUCACAUUAUCCAAAGGUGACUAGUAUUUGAUUUGACUCCUGAAGUGAUGAAGGAUGAAGGAUGAAAAUUAAUGAUUUUGAGUUGUAAGCUCACUUUAAUCCUUUGUGCUUUGCUUUCCGCCUUGGACAAUGCAUCCAUGCAUUGUUAAAAAAAAAUAGUAAAAUUAAAUUUAAUAGUAUGAAUAUUUAAAAUUAUAAAAAUUAAAUAAUACUUAUAACUAAAUUUAUAAAAAUUAAAUAGUUUAAGGCCUUAUUCGGUAAAAAUAUUUAGCAGUAGCGUUUCGCUUAAGUCAAAACACUGAUUUUUAUUUAUUUAUUAUUUAGUAACUACUUUUUUAUAAUAAUGUUUGAUUGUUGAAGCUAUUUUUCCUAAUGUUUAUUAUUUAGUAACCAUUAAUUGUAUUAUAUAUAAUAUUAUUAUUUCCUAAUGUUUUUUUUAUUUUUUUAUAAAUUUACAAAUUCAAAUUUUAAUAUAUUUAAAUUAUUUUUAUUAUUAUUUUUUAUAUUAUAUUAUCGAUUUGUCAUAUUUUAUAAUAAUAUUAUUGAUUAUUUAUGACGUAUUAAAAUAUGUAAUUAAUUUAUUAAUUUAAGAAUAAUUUAUAUGUUUUAUCGUUGAUUUAUUGGAAAGAUAAUUUAUGUAAGUUUGUGAUAUAUGUCAAUUUGUAAUUUAUGUCAAAAUUUGAAUAAUAUUAUUUUUUAUUAUUAUUUCGUAUUUAAUAAUUAAAUUUAACAUUUAUUUUAUAUUAAAUAAUUUUAUUUUAAGUUAUUAUAUAAAUAAAGCUAUUUAAUAUUCACAAACUUAGUCUGAUGAUAAGAAAUUUGAGUAAAUUAAAUUUAAGAGAUCUUAGAUUUUACUUAUCCAAUCUUCAAUUUUAUUUAAAAAAAAAAUAAAACUAUUUAAUUGAUUUUAUUAUUUUUAAUUAAUAUAUUUGAAGAAGUGUUUCUAUUAGCUCCUCUAAUGCUAAACAGAAUCUAGCUUUGCUAGGUACAAUAAAAUAAAUCCGGAAUACCGUGCAAUCAGGAAAGGAUUAUGAAAAUAAGUGAAGCGGCAAAUAUCUCCAAUUUUAUUUUUUUAAAAUAAAUUUCUAAAUUUUAUAAAGACUAUUUGUUUUAACUGAUAAAUGAUGCUGAUAGAUAUCUAAUCACGACAUUAAUGUGUUUAGUAUUUAAUAAAUGUAUUUGAUAAUUAAUAGACUUUACAAUUAGAAUGGUUUCACAUAGCUGAUAAUUAUUUGACUUAUGUUUUUUAUUUUAAUUAUAUUAUCUUUUAAAAGUUUGGAGUGUUUGAUUUAAUCAUUAAAUACUAAUUGUCAGAAAAAAAAUUAUAAAAAUAAGUGAAACAUAAAUCUCUAUAUAAUUAAUUUAUUUAAAUUAGAGUUAUUUUAUUUAUAAUUUACAUAUAAAAAAAAUAAAUAUUUUAAAUAUCUAAAAUAUUAUUAUAAAUAUUUAAAUCAUUUUUCAAUACUAUGUAUAAACUAUAUUUUAAUUACUAAAUUUAAUAUAAUUAAUGAAUGUCUUUAUAUUUUUUAAAUUAAAAUUUUAAAUUCUUUUAUAUUUAAUUUUUUCAUACAUUAGUUCAAAAUAAAUAGAUAAUUAAUUUUUUUUAAAAUUAUAAUUUCUUUUUGAAAUACUCUUUAUAAAAUUGAGUUAAUAGCUAAAAAAAUAAUAUAAUUUUAUUUUUACUGCAAUUAUACCUUAUAUUUUUUUAUAGAUUAAACGCUAAUCUUUUAAAAUUGUUCCAAAUGCAUUUAACUGUUAUUUGUGCUGUUCAAAAAUAAUAAAAUUAACACGACACUCGCUACAUCACCACACCAUGUCAACAAAGCACUGUAUCAGCAAAAUUUAGAAUUAAUCGCUAAAAACAUUAUAUACUUUACUUUUAUUGCAAUUCUACCCUAUAUUUUUAUUUUUUACCAAUUAAACUAUGUUCUUUUAAUAUUUGACCAAAUAUACCCUAUCAUUACUUGUAUAGUUUGAAACUUACAAAAUUAUCCACUUAUCUUUUUUUACCAUUUAAAAAUUGCUAUUUAUAUUAUUAUUUAAUUUUUUUAUUUUUAUCAAUAAUUUUAUAAUAAAAUUUAUUUUAAUUUUAUUUUAACUAAAAUCAUUAUUUAACCGAUUUUUCAUCUGUUUAAUAUGCUUAUUAAUUACUAUUUAAUAUUACUUUUAAAACUAUCGAUAAGAAAAUAAUUUUAUUAAAUAUAUUAGUUUUGAAGUAUUAAAAAAUAAUUUAAAAUAAUAUUUAAUAUGAUUUCAUUUAAAAGUAUAAAAAAUAAUAAAAUAAUUUUUUAGAAUAUUCUUUUAAAAUUAUUUUUUACCUCUCAAAUAUAAUGUUAAUCCACUAAUUUUUUUUUAAUUAUACUAAUAUUUAAAGUGAAUUUUAAAAAAAUUAAUAAUAUAUGGAUUAAAUAUUUAAUUGUCUCACUUGAUUUGGUUAAAUGACUAAAACAAUAUAUAAUUCAUCUGAAAUCAUAGAUUCACUCUCCAUUCUUCUAUCUUCUAAAAAAAAUUAUUUAUAAAAUAAAUAAUUAUAAAAAAAACUCUAUACUUUUAAUUUUAUUAUAAUUCUACCAUAAAAUUUUAAUUUAUUAUCUAUUUUACUCUAAAAUUUGCUAAUCGUGACAUAUUAAUGUGGUAUUGACAUGACGAGUGAUGUGGCAAUUCUAUUAAUUUUUAACGGUUCAAGUGAUAAUAGGGUACAAUUAGAAUAAUUUUAAAAAGUUAAAAUUUAAUUGAUAAAAAGAUAUAGAGUAUAAAUGCAACAAAAUCAAAUAUAUAUAUUUUUUUGCUAUUAACUUUAUAAAAAUUUAUAAUUUACUUAAAAGUUAUUUGAUAUUAUUUAAAAAUAAUUAAAAUUAUAAAUAUUUUAAAAGAAUUUUAAAAUUAUAAAUAUUAAAAUAUUUUAAUCAACAAAAAUUAAAAAAUAAAAUAUUAAAAAUUAAUUAAAUAAAAUAUUAUAUAUAAAAUUAGUGGAGAUUUAAGUGUUUUUUAAAUAAAAAAUGAAGGAUUAAAAUAUUUAAAUUAUAAUGAUGAAGAGGAAUGAUUAUAAAAAAAAUAAAAGAUUAAAAUAUUUAAAUUAUAAUGAUGAAGACGGAAUGAUUAUAGAGAAAUUUAAGCGUAUAUUUUUAAGGAUUGAUUUUUUAAUUAUAUUAAAAUUUAAGAAUUUAAGUGUGAUUUAUCUAUUUAAAAAGAGUAAUAAAGAUAUUUCAAUAUUUUUAAGUGUUUUGAUUUAAAUAAUUAUUAAACUGAUUACGAAGAAAUUUAAAUAUUUAAUUUUAAAAAUAUAAAAAUUAAUGAAUAUUCAUGAGAACGUGUAUAUUCUAUUUUUUAUUUUUUUUUCUAAACUAUAUAAUAUCUUUUUACUUUUAAAUAUCAAUAUUUUAAUGACAUAUUUGGAUCAUGUCAAUCCAAAGGUCCUUCGGGAUAAAUUAAAACAUGGUGAUUAAAUUAUUUAUUUUUUCAAAAUUAAAAUAUAUAAAUAUUAAUUUUCACACAAAUUAAAGAUUAAAAUAAAUUAUAUAUUUAAUAACAUUUUAAUUAUUUUAAAAAUAAUUAACGAAAAAAAAAUAAACGACAGACGUCCAAAUUUAAUAAAGUAAAAUAUAAAAAAUAUACGUGUUAAUUUUAAAAUAUUUUAGCAAUAUUAAAUUGAAAGUUAAACGAUGGGACCCACUAUGUUUGUAAUAAAACCUCUGUAUCCUGAGUUAGAAAGGAGUAAAAGGAGUAAAACAAUGGCAGCCAUCCGUUGCAGCAACCAUCCAUUUCCAAAAACUGAAUAAUAAUCCUUCCAAAAAGGCAAAAGGAGAAAAGAUCACUGACCUGUGAGAGGAAUAUCAAUGGCGUUUCCAGCAAUAAGCUUACUAUCAUCGGAAAUAUCAUUGAGUUUAAACAGUACAUCACUCGUAGUCCCAAACUGCUUUGCAAUUCCUUCCAUGGUACUCAUCGCUUCCACCACAUGUCCAUAAUGAACAACCCUCUGCUCUUCCACAUCAUCGCAGCUACAAGGCAACGGAAUCCACAGCCUCUCUCCCGUUACAAUCAAAUUAGCAUUUGGAAUCUGAUUAACUUGUUGGAUUUCUGGAAAUUUCACCAAACCCCCAAACACAUCGCUGGCAAUAUAGAACAGAGUAUCGUCUUUCUGAACCCUAUAUCUAGGGAUAUUGUUUGAGAUACCAGUACCAUUAGCGCAACGGCAAGGGAUUGGGAUAUUGAUCACCUGUUGGGCAUUUACUGUGUAAUUUGAUGGGGUAGAGAGAGGAAGAUCGUUUGCGCCAAGCAAAGAGUUGAUGUCAUGGACGCCAAAGAAAUUACUGAGGUGGAAGAUGGUGGUUUGGUUGGGGGAUUUGUAGCCGAUUAGAGAAGUGCAAGUGGUUCGAUCACUCUGAGUGCAUUUGAAUCCAGCUUGGACUGUUGAUGGUUUGGUGGCAAAAGCAAAGAGGAAGAGUAGAGAGAUGAUUAUGUGAUGAGAAAAAUCCAUUGUUUUGAUUUUCUGGGUUUGGGAAUCAAAGGGCAAAUUGAGAUUUAAAAAUGGCGGUGGAGGUAGAAAAAGGAGCUGGGGAUGAAGGAGAAGGGAGUGAUUGUGAUUUUUCUCGUCCUUGUUGGAAUAAGGACUUUUUCAGUUUUGGCCGUAGCGUAGACUUAGAAUUUGAACCUGUUAUGACUUUAUGACUUUUUUUUUUAAUUAAUAAUUAAAAAAGGUACUGAUAUAAUAUAAUUAAGUAAUAUUUAAAUUCAUUUUAAAUUCAAUUAAAAAUUAAUCUAAAUAUAUGAUUAUAAAAUAAUUCUAAUUAAAUAUAAAAAUAAAUAUAAUUAAUAAAUUAUAUCUUAAAAGAAAUUAUAUAAUAAGAGGUAAUUGUUGUUUCUUAAUAUGAACAUAAAUAUCUAUAGACGGGAAGAAUCAAAUUUAAAAUUUUACUAUUUUUUAUCCUUUAAAUGCGAAAAAAGAUUGAUUAGAUUAAAAAUUCUUAUUAUUUCGUUUUUAUAUUAUUAAAAAUUUUAAUAGUUGAUUUUUUUAUUUUAAAAAAUAUAUUAAAAUAUUUUUAAAAUUUUAAAAAUUUAUUCAUUCGUUAUUCAAUUAAUUUUAAUUAUUAAAUAUUUUAGUAUUUAAUUUUUGUAAUUUGAAAAAAUUUAUUAGCUAUUUUUUUAAUUUUAUGAAAAUAAAUUAAUUAAUUUAUUUAUAUUGAGUAUAUUUUCUUUUUUAAUAUUUAAUAAUUAAAAUUAAUAAAAUGAUUAAUUAAUAAAAUUUUUAAUAUUAGAAAAUUGAUAGAUUAAGUAAUAAAUUUUUUAAUAAUAAAAAAUUAAAUAAUAAUAUCCCUUAAAUUAAUCAUGAUUAGCUCGACUUUGGACGCCCGAGUCUUGAAGGCAGAAGCCUGCUCAUAUUUAUGAAUUAAAUAAUGGUUUUGUGAAAAGCUGAUUCAACAUGUUUUGAUUUCUUAUCAGUGUUACACUUGUUAAAAUUUAUUAAAUAACUUAUUAAUUUUACGUUAAAAAAUAUUAAUAUAAUAUAAAAUUAUAUAUUUUAAUUAAUUUAUACAAAUAUCAGUAUAAUUAUUUAAUUUAACGAUUAUUGAACUUAUCCUCAUAUUAUAAAUUAGUAAAAAAAUAAUAAAUUUAAUAAAUUUCCUGCAAUAUCUCAUUCGUUUGAAAGCUUUUUGAUUUAAUGGCGAUUAAGAACAAAAAAUGAUAAAAUAUUAGAAUUAGAUGUGUGCAUUUAGAUUUUGAAUUAAGAUUUAUUUAAAAAUUACACUCUUUUUAAAAUAUAAAAGAAAUUUCUAAAAAAUUAAGACGUUUAUUUUAAAACAAUUAAAAUUUUGAAAAGGUAAAUUUGAUUUUUAAAAAAUUAUUAUUUAAUCCUUAAUAUUAUUAUUAUUAAUAAAUUAAUUUUUAUAUUUUUAAAAAAUUAUAGAAAUUUUAUUAUCUUUUCUUUUUAUUAAUAAAAUAUUUAUUUUAUUAUUUUUCCUAUUUAAAAUAGAUAAAAAAAAAUUUUAAAAUUUAAUUUUACUAUCAAAUAAACUCUUUAUUUAAUUUAUGAGUAUUAUCAUUAUUAAUAACUUAUAUCUGUAUUUUUAUAAAUUUAUUAAAAUAUUUUUAUUUUUUUUAAAUUUAUUAAAAUAUUUUUAUUUUUUUUAAAUUUAUUAAAAUAUUUUUAUUUUUAUCUCUAUUAAUGAAAUAGUCUCUUUUUAAAAAAAAGAAAAAAAAUUAAAAAAAAAAAUAAUUUAUUUUUUACUAUAUUUUUAAUGAUAAAAAUAAAUAAAAUAUCUAUUUUAUUGAAGAAAAAAUUUUAUUAAACUUUUUAAAAUUAAAAAAUUAACUUAUUAAUAAUGACAAAAUACAUAAAAAUUAAAUAAUAAAUUUCUCUCUCUGAAUUAAAAAUUAUUUUUUAUUUUUAUUUCUUUAAUCCCACUUUAAAAUCAUCAUUUUCAACGAAAUAACGAGUAAGAGUAAUCUUUAAAUAUUUAUUUGAGAAAAUUUUGAAAAAAAUACUAUUUUUUUGUAUUUUGAGAGUGAUGUAUUUUUAUAUAAAUAAAAGUAUAACUUUUAAAUAAGUUUACGUAAAAAUAUAUGCAUUUGAUAAAAAUUUUAAAGUAAAAUCUAGAGUAUGAAUAACAUAUUAAUAGAAAAUUCAAGGAAAUAUAAGAAGAAGCGCACGGUUGAAGACCUGAAAAGGUUGCACUUGCAUAUAAUAUUGUCUCCGCUGAUCGUGGAUUGCUGAUAUUACUCUGUACUUCUUAUUUAAGCCAUGGAUUUUGUCCCUUUAUAAAUUGAAAGAUGUCUAUAGUUUUAUUAGAGUGUAAAUAAAUUAAAUCGUUUGUGAAUUACUCAAAAUUCGAUUUGAUAAAAAUUUGAUUAAAUUCGAUUUGAUUUUUAAACGAGUUAAAUUCGAAUUUAAUUUUUAGACUCGUUUGAUAAAUGAAUCAAACUCGAAUUUAAUUUUUAAACUCGUUUAAUAAAUGAGGUAAACUUGAACUCUAUAGUAUUCGACUCGUUAAAACUCAUGAGCUCGGUUCGUUUCUGAAUUCAUAAACAGGUUCACGAAUAUUCUGGUGAACAAUCUCGUUAAGUAAACUGAAAUUAUUAUUAAAAGAGAAGUAAACUGAAAUUAUUAUUAAAAGAGAAAUAAACUCAAACCCCACUUAUAUUUUCAUGAGACAAAUCUAAAUUUUUUAAAAUUUAUCUCUAUAUAGUUUAGUUACACUCUCAAACUUACAUAUAUUUAAAUCAUUAAAAUUUAAAAGCUCAUAUUUAUAAGUUUACGUGCUAAUUUGUAAAUAUAUUUAUUUAAUUAAAAUUAUUUUAAUUUUAAAUUUAUUAAUUUUAAAUUAAAACUCAUUAUAUACGUAAAUAAAUUAAACUACUCGUGAAUUAUUUGAGAUUAAACUCGAUAAAAGCUCAACUCAGUUCAAUAAAAGCUUGAUUCGUCUAAACUAAUUUGCUAAACGAGCCAAUCUUGAAUUUUUUAAUAUUCAGUUCGAGUUCGAAAUGAGUAAAACUCGAAUUCGCCUCAAGUUCGAAAAAAUUUUAACGAAUCAAUUUUGAACUCUUCAAAACUCGACUCGACUCGGUUCAUUACACCACUAUGUUUUAUAAAAAAAAAAAAACAUUGAAUGUAUUCCCACCCGAUUAAUAAAUUUUUAUUAAAUUUGAGAUUCAUUAUAAUUAUAACUUAUUUGUUAUUGGUUUAUUAAUUGGAUCCAUGUAAGAAAUUUUUUAUAUAUAUUUAAAAUAAAAUAAAAUAAACAAUUACUAUCUAGUUUAUUAUAAAAAAUUUAUUAGUUAAUUUUUAAUUUUAAAAUUUAUAUUAAAAUAUUUUUCAUGUUUUAAAAAAUUUACUAAUUAAUGUUUAUAUUAAUUUUAUUCGUUAAAUAUUAUAAAAAAUUAAAAUUUUAAUUAAUAAAUAUUUUUAUAAAAUUAAAAAUAUAAAAUAUUUAACAGUAAAAUUAAUAAAGAUUAAUUAAUAAUUUUUUAAAAAAUAUUUUAAUAUAUUUUUAAAAUAAAAUAUCAAUUAAUAAAUUUUCUUAUAUAUAAAAUUAAAUAGAAAAUUUUUAAAAGAAAUAAAAAUAAAUUCAAUUAAAAACUUAUACUAUUCUUGCAAUAGUCAAAUAAGUUUAAUUCAAAACUUUAGAUCACUUAAAUUCAUAUAUUUUUUUAAGGGUCAAAUAAAUUAUAAUAUAAUAUAAUAUUUUUUUAAUAAUAAAUAUUAUUUUUAUAAUUUAAAAAUAAAAAAUAUUAUAAAAAAUAAAAAAUUUAAUAUUUUAAUUAUCGUAAAAAAUGUAGAGAAAAUAAAUUAUUUUUAAAAUUAUAAAAAUAAAAUUUUAUUAUAUAAAAAAUAUUUUAUUAUUAUAAAAGUAAUAUUGUAUUAUAUGAUGAUUUAUUUAUGAAGGCUUAAUUAGAGUUAUAUAAAAAGAAAAAGAAAAUCUAUUGGGGAGAGUUGAAGUGUAGUUGAUUGGUGACUGGAUUAAUGGCUAGGGUCAGAGUCAAAUCCGCAAUCAAUUGGAGCAGAUUUUAGAGUUCAUUUAAAAACGCGUGGAAUUGAUAAUGCGCCCACUCACAGAGGAUGAGAAGUAGCGUGCGGUCGUUUUGAACAAGUCGGUGUGAAUUGAUUUUUUAGGUCAAAUUAUUGGAAAAAUUAAAUUGUAAAGCAAUGAUUUCAUAUACAUUAAUAAAUUAGUUAUAUACACAUAUAUAAUUUUAGUCUAUAAAUUCUUUAGAUUUAUUCACGCAUUCACAUUAUAAGUUUUUCAGAUUUAUUCACAUUUAUUUAUUAUUAUUUUAUAAUUUAUCUAAAUUAUUAUUGGAGUUCAAGAGUUAAAACGUAUGGUUUAUGAAAAAUUGUACUCGUUCCGUAGAAAUUUAUUAAUUUAUAAUUUAUAAAAUUUACUCUGUUUUAUAAUUUUUAUUUAUUUUAAUUAUAUAUAUAUAUUAAAAAAAUAAUUUCUUAAUUAAUUUUUUUAUUAUAUUUAUUUUAAAAAUAUAAAAUUUUAUUAAAUAUUAAGAGAUAUUUUGAAUAAUUUUUUAGAAAUAAGAUAAAAUUAAAUAAGAUUAUAAUAAUUAAUUUUUAUAUAUAUUAAAAAAAUAAUUUUUUAAUUAAUUUUUUCAUUAUCUUUAUUUUAAAAAUAUUAAAUUUUAUUAAAUAUUAAAAAAUAUUUUAAAUGAUUUUUUAGAAAUAAAAUAAGAUUAUAAUAAUCUAUUUAUAUAUUAUUAUGGUGUAAAAAAAGGUAAAUAAUAAUUUUUAGACAAUAAAAAAAUUACGAGAUAAAUAAAAUAUAUAAAAAUGUAAAAAAAAAUAAAUUUACUCUAUAUUAAUUCAAUAAUUAUAAAUCUACCUUUAUUUUAAUCGACUAAAAAUUAAUAUAAUAAUUUAUUAUCAUUUAAAAAUUUUUAGAUUAUACUGGUUAAAUUGAUUUAGCAGUUAAAAAAAAAUUCUCUUAAUACUAAAACUUUAUUUUAUUAAGUUUUAUUAUUUCUUUCAUUUCAUAAUUUUUAUACAUAUUAAAAUAUAUUUUUUAUUAAUUUUUCAAUUAUAUUUAUUUUAAAUAUAUUAAAUUUUAUUAAAUAUUAAGAAAUAUUUUAAGAGGUUUUUUAGAAUAAAAUAAAAUUAAAUAUGAUUAUAAUAGUAAAUUUAUACAUUAUUAUUGGAUAAUAAUUUUAAAAUAAUAAAAAAAAAUAAAAAUUAUGAGAUGAAAAAAAUAUAAUUAAAAAAAUAAAAAAUUAUUAAAUCACUCAUAAAAUUUAAAAAAUAUAAAAAUUACAUAUACAUUUGAAAUAAUAACUAUUUUUAUUAAAUAUCUCUACUCAAUAUUAUGCAAAUUAUAUGCAUAUUAUUAUAUACUCUUAUUUGAAAUGCUAAAUUUUGAAAAAAUUUAAAAAUAAUUAUUUUUUUUAAUUUGUGUGUUCGGCAAAUCUAAUAAUAUAAAAAUUCAAUUUUCUUAAAUUUUUUAAAAAUUAAUUUUGAAUUAAAAAUAAAUUUUACCAAAUUAUUAUUUGAAUUUUGUAAGAAAUAAUUUCACUUAAGGGUUAUUUAUAUUAAGAUUAUUCAAUUAGUCUUUAAAAAUUUAUUUAUUUAUUUAUUUAUUUUAUUUUUUAUUCUUUUAUUUGUUUUAAUUUUAAAUUUAUUUUUUACUUUUAAUUAAUAAUUACUAUAAAAAUUAUUUUAAUGUAAUAGUGAGUAUUAAUAUAUAGUUAAUACAUUUAUACUUACUAUUAAAAAUUUAUUAUAUUAUUUUGUUAAUAAAAAAUAUAAAUUAUAUUUUUAAUGGUAAAAAAUUAUGUAAAAUUCAGAUUUUAAAUGUUAUAAAAUAUUAAUAAUGUUUUUUAAAUGAAUAAAAAUAAUUGUUAUUUAUAGAAGUAAAUAUUUAUAUUCAGUUUUAAAAUAAUAAGAAUAAUAAAUAAAUUAAAUUAAUUUAAAUUUUAUUAUUAAUUUAUCUAAUAUAAAAAAUUUUAAUUGAAUCCUAUUACAUCUAAAUAGAUUACAAAUCAAUGAAUUUUAUUUAUAAAUAAAUAUAAAUUAAAUUCUAUUGAUAGAAUUCAAUUUUUUCUCAGAAGAAUUGCAUACCAAACAAGAGCUAUAUAAAAAUACUCUAUUUCAUCUAAUAAUAUAUAUUAAAUAAAAUGAAAUAUUAGCUGUAAAUAAAAUGAAAUAUGUGUUUUUGUUUUGUUUCAAAUUUUAAAUUUUUAUUAAUCUAUUAUAUUUAUAUAAAAGUGAAAUGAGAGAUAAAUAAUGAAAUUAAUAAAAAAAAGAUACUGUUAAAAUAAAAUAUUUAUUUUAAGAAUUACCUUAUCAGUCAAAUAAAAUUAUAUGGACUAUAUCAUAAUUUAUUAUUAAUUUUUAAAAUUCAAUUUAAUUCGUGAUAAAUUGAAAAUAUUUAAUUUUAUUAUUCAAAGAUUUAAAUUUUAAAUAUAAUAUAAAUCACUCUAAAUUUAGACUUUUUUCCCUCAAUUUCCAUUAAUUAUAUUAUUUAUAUUUAUUUAUUAAAUAUUUAAACUACAAUAAUAACUAACUAAACACUUAAAUUUAUAAAAAUUAUAAUAAUUAAAUACAAAAUAGAUAUAAUUUGUUAAAAAAUUUAAAAAAAAUUGAUUUAUUACUAAGUGUACUUAAAAUUUUUUUCUAAUUGAUCUCUAAAUUUUCAUAAAAUGAUAAAUUUGCUAUUGUCUAAUUUUGUUAAUUUAUAAUAAUUCAAGGAACAAUCAAUAAAACUUAAAAGUAAAAUCAGAAAUAUAAUUAUUUUUGUCUUAAAAGGGUAUCAUUGUCAUUAGAAAAAAAAUAAUCAAAGAAAGACUAAUAUGUAAAAUGUUAUUAUUCUUAACAAAAGGACGAAUUUAUUACUAGACAGAAGUAAAACUUAUGUGCUUAUUUAUUAAAAAAACUUAAUUUCGAGGCUAAUCUAUAAUUUUAUUAAAAUUCAAGGAUUUACGCGUAAAUAUUUUUAACAAAAUCAUGUAUUGUAAUAAAUUUUGCCAUAUAUUAUAAUGAAAAUUACUACUAUCACUUCUAUUUAUAGUUUUUUGUUUUUUUUUUUUUUCUUAAAAACACUGACAAUCUAUUUGGUAAUAUAUAUCUAUAACUUCUUUCACCUUUGUUUUCACAAUACAAAAACAUAAAACCAGAGAAAAAAGUUUUUCAUUUUAGUUUUCCUGCAUAUGCCUUUUCCAUUACAACAUUAAGUUGCAAUAUUUUUUUUGUUUAAACUCAUAUUAUUAAUAGUUACAGUAAUAAUUAUGGAUUAUAUGCUAUGACAAUAUAUUCUCUCAAGUUACUAUUACAUAUUCUUUAAAUUUUUGGUGUAAAGGCAAUGAGAUUUUAUAUAGAGCGAAUUCGGUAAAAUUUACAUUAAAGAUAUUUUGCAACUAUUUACACUACAAAAAAACAGACUAUCAGUGACGGAUUUUUCCGUCACUGAAAGUCAAAAAUCCGUCGCUAAAGCUUUCAGCGACGGAUUUCCGACGGACUCAAAUCCGUCGCUUAAAGUCAUGUCGCUAAUUUUUUCCGACGGAUCGGGCGUCCGUCGGAAAUAUUAGCGACGGAUUUCCGACGGAUCUGAAUUCCGUCGGAUAAAUUUGCGACGGAUUUUCCAACGGUUAAUUUCGUCAGAAAUUUUUGCGACGAACUAGUUCGUCGCUAAAUCCAUCGGAAAUUUCUAAGUCACGUGAUGCAUAAUCCGUCUCUAAUCCGUCGCAAAUAAUUAGCGACGGAAAAGUUCCGUCGGAAAUCCGUCGGAAAUAUUAAUAUUCAAUAAUAUUAAUAAUAUUAUUUAUAUUUUCAAUAAUAUUCAUUAUCGUCAACAAAAUAUUUUUCGAUUUUAUUUAGACAUUCUUAUAAUCUAAAUAGUUUACAACUAAAAAAUAAAUUUAAUAUAAAUUAAAAGUCAUUCAUAAUCAUUAUAAUUCAUAUUCAUACACACAAAUACUUCACAAUGUUUACAAAAUCGAAAGUUUAGAACAAAUCCAUAUACUUAACAAUAUUCAUAAAAUUUAAAACAAAUCUAUCAGUUUGCUGAAACAUCUGAUGGAGAAGUAGAAUCUACAGUUGUGUGAUGAUGAAAAUAUGUUUGCUUGUGGAGUAUGCUCUCGUGUUUCCUUUUGCAUCUCUGUUGCCUCAUGUCUUUCAUUCAUAGAGAGCUGCUGGCCAUGCCCUCUACCUCUAAGAUAAUACUGCUCUUCUAGACAUAUGAAAAAAAAAAUUUAUAUAUAAAUUUCAAUUAACAAUAUUACAAAAUUAAUAUAAAAUUUUCUUUCUUCAUAACAAAAUUACAAAAAGUAGAAUGAAAAAAUAGAAAUAAUAUGAUAAACCCAAAAACUUGACAUAUAGAAACUCAUGUGAAGAACAUGAACCCUUCUAAUAUGCUACAAGAUCCUCUCACCCACCCCACACCAGCCUCCGUGGUGCAACUCCACUCAACUUCCUAUCAACUUAAAUUUUUAACCACCAUCCUAAGCAUAAACCAAACUAUGAAAAGCAAAGAUGAAAAAUAAGGAACCAAAUUAUAUCCCAGGAAACUGAACAAUUUAGUAGAGAUUAUUAUCUUUUUCCUUAUCUCUCUUACAGGACAAAAACUCAUCAUAUCUCCUUUUUACAGUAUCAGAAAAGAAAAUGCAUCAUACUUGGACAUUAUAGCAGAUACAAAAUGCAAAUGAACAUCAUAUUUCAAACCUCAGCUUAGAGCACUCCUUUAUGGUAAAUCAACCAAGAGAACAAAAAAUCAAGAGUAUCAAUUUAUUAGAUAAGCUAUUUUUCUGUACCUUCAAGAAAAAGAAGAAUUAGCAUGCAAUCAAUCAUAGAAUGAAUAACUAGCUCCUGCAUAUCAUUCUGUAUCAUUACCUUGGAUGAAUUUAAAAGAAGAGAAACUCAUCUGGUCUGGUGAAGGCUGAAAAAUGAUCCCAGCUUACCCCAUGACACAAGCACACUACUCUUCAAAGUUUAUUUCUAUUUAAACUAAACAGCCAUGACAUAUAAAUGAAGUCAAUUUUACUACAGUCAGAUUAUUUAUUUGUUAGCCAAGAAUGUAAUACCUUAAAAAAUUCAACAAAUUUGGGAAUGUCAUUCGCAGACUCAGCAGAAUUCAUUUUCCUUCCCUGCUUCUCAGAAAUGCUAAUCAAGAGUUCUUUGGCACCUGCAUCCAAAUUAUCAAUCAUAAAUUGCAGGACUGCAAUUAAGAGAAGUAUAUAUCCACAAUUCUCAUGUUGAUGUUGAACUUUUCAAGUGUUUAGAACCAUAUUUUUGGAUAGUGAACAAAGAUGUAUGAUGUAUGAUACCACAAGUAUUUAUAUAUAAAUUUCAAUUUAUAUAAAUUUUAUAAAUUUUAUAUAAAUUUCAAUUUAUAUAAAUUUUAUAUAAAUUUAUAUAUAAAUUUAUAUAUAAAUUUAUAUAUAAAUUUCAAUUAAACGCAGCAAGCUGCUGGGCACGCAGCAAGCUGCUGCGUGCCCACGCAGCAUGCUGCUGCGUGCCCACGCAGCAUGCUGCGUGCCCAGCAGCAGCUGCUGCGUGCCUAGCAGCAGCAAGCUGCUGCUGCGUGCCCAGCAGCAGCAAGCUGCUGCUGCGUGCCCACGCAGCAAGCUGCUGGGCACGCAGCAAGAAAAUAUUUUUAAUUUUUUUUUUAUUUUUAAAAUACUUGAUUAAUUAAAAAUAUUUUACUAUCUGCAACCAUUGAAGCAAAUCCCAUAUUCACUAACUUACAUGGAGUGGCGACGAUCGGAAGUUGCACCGGCGGGUGGCAACGGCGGUGGAGGCGACAGUGAGGACGAGGCGACAGCGAGGACGAGGCGACAGCAAAUCUGUCACGGGAACGGCGAGGCGACGGCGGCGGUGAGUGGCAACGGGGCGCGCGACAGCAACUUGCGGCAGCUUUGGGACUCACAACGGCGACGGCGGCGGCGGCGGCGAGAGUGGCAGGAAGAUCGAUUCGGCGCUGAGGGGAAGAUAGGAGAGGAAAAGCGUGGCUGAAAUUAUAAGAGAUGAGGAAAGAGAAGUUUAGGGUUUUGUUUUUAUAUUGUUUGAUUUUUCUGACGGAUUAGCGACGGAAUAAAUUCCGUCGCUAAUAUUUUAAAAAUCCGUCGCUAAUCCGUCAGAAAUUUAAACAUAAACUAUUCGUCGUUGAUCCGUCGCUAUUUUUUUUUCCGACGGAAGUAAAUUCCGUCGCUAAAUCCGUCACUGAUACCUUGUUUUUUUGUAGUGUUAACUUUAUUUGCAAGCUUAUCUAUUACCACGUUUAAUGGAUUAAACUUCUUUGAAUGAAAUAAGUCAAGUUCCGCUCAUGUAUCUGAGAUAUUAACUUACUAUUAUAGAAUGAUAAACAUGCUGCCAUUAUAAUAUAAGCAGUCAGAAUGAGAAUUUUUACUAUAAAUAAUAAAAACAUUACCGAUUAAACUUUAGGUUUGUGAAUGAUUAUUGCUAAUAAUAUUAAGACAUUUAUUUUAUAAGUUAAUUGACGUGGAGAAAUUAGUUUUGAAUUUUACGGCAGAUUUGGACUGCGUCUAACAUUUGCUGCCGACAUCCAAAAGAGAUUCACGAUAGCUUUUCGGAAAGAAAAUUUUGAGACGCACGACUUUCAAAAGUGUGACAAGGAUCAAAGACCUGUCACAAAGUUCAAAACGAAAAUUUCAUCGUUUAGGGAGUUAAUUUUGCAUUUUAAUUAUUUUUUUAAAUAUUUUUAUAAUUUUAUAUAUUAGGGUUUUUUCUAUUAUAAAUAACCUUUCAUUGACUAUUUGAAACUCAAUUUUCAAUCUCUUAAGAAUUUCAAAAAGACUUUUCGACUUUUAAUCUCUCGUUUUUAUUAUUUCGUCUUAGUCAAACUUUAUUAGUUAAAACUCCUCUAUUCAGUCUUAUAUCACUAAUAGAAAUAAGAAAUAUAUUAUACUUGUCGUACUCUAAUGGCAUAGCUCAUGAUCAUGAAGUUUGAGUUCAAUAGAUAUACAAGAGCAUAUUAUUAAAAUGAGUAACAUCGCAGUAUGAAAACUUUAAUGAUGAUGAUUGAUGGUUUCUUUUUGGUGUAGUUUAUUAUGAACACACUACCUCGUAAAAAUAUGGGGUCAUUUCAAAUUAAUUAUAAGACCAUUAAAAAUAAGUGAAAUGUUAAUAUAUUUUAUCCAUUCCUCUUUUACAUAUUACCUCAAUAAUUAUUAAAAAUUUAAAUAAUGUUGCAUAAUAUAAUAGUGAAAUACACUAUAAAAUGACUAACUGACAAAUUAUUGAUAGAGGUAAAUCAUGAUCUUAAUAAGAAAUGAGAUUGAUAAUUGUUGAAGAUUAUGUGGUUUACUUGCAAGAAUCAUACUCUGUUAUUAGAAUCAAUAAGGAUCCAUAGUUAUUUUCAUAAGUCAUAGAAACGUAUUGAGUCUAAUAAAUGAAUAGAUGCUAUUAAAGAAUAAAAUCAUGUGACAAAAUAAAGUAUGAGAUUUGUUAAUUAUAUAAACUACCUCGGUAUAAAUGGAUUAUUAAGACCAAACGCGACUCAAAUGACAUAAAAUAAUUUGUUACUAAGAUAUAUACUCAGAAAGAUAGUAUUGAUUAUAAAGAGAGGUUUCAUUAGCUUCAAAGAUAAACUUAUUAAGAAUAAGGGAAAAUUAUAAAAAAAUUAUCAUGUGAUUUGACGUAUUUUUUAAGUAGAAUUAUAUAAUUUAAUUUGUGACAAAAAGAAUCAUGUAGUUUCACUCCGUUAGUAAAGUGAAAUUUUUUUUCUCUAACACCGCUAUGAAACGCUAAUGUUGCAUUUAAAAAUUAAUUAAAAAUAAAUUUUAAUUAGGAUGAAUUACAUUUUAAUCCUUAAAGUUCUAUAAAAUAUAUAAGGAUAAUUUACGAUUUAGUCCCUGAAUAUUGCCAUUAUUAACAAGUCAGUCCCUGUAUUUUUAGAAACCUAUUAAAACGUCCUUAUAUUUUAUUUCCGUCAACAAAAUAGUCCUUCCGUCCUAUUUUCCGUUAAAAUUAGACAAAGGAAGAGAGAGAAAAUUUUUAAAAUCCAAUUUUACCCUCAAAUAAAACCAUUUAUUUAGUCCUUGUAUAUUAUAAUUAUUAACAAGUUAGUCCUUACAUUUUCAAAAAUCUAUUAAAAUAUUUUUAUCUUUUUUCAUAUCUAUUAAAACGUCCUUAUUAUUUUUUUCCAUCAAUGAAAUAGUCCCUAUCUUUUCUCACAUCUAUUAAAACAUCCUUAUCGUUUAUUUAAAUCAACGAAAUAGUCCCUCCUCAUCGUUUUUUUCUGUCAACGAAAUCGUCUCUCCCUAUAUUUUUAGAAAUAUAUUAAAACGUCCUUAUUGUUUCUUUUUGUCAACGAAAUAGUCCCUAUCUUUUCUCAGAUCUAUUAAAACAUCCUUGUUAUUUCUUUUUAUCAACAAAAUAGUCCCUAUCUUUUCUUUCCUCUUCCUCCUCCUCCUCCUCCUCCUCCUCCUCCUCCGAAAAAGAAGAAGAAAAAGAAGAAGAAGAAGAAGAAGAAGGAGAAGAAGAAGAAGAAGAAGGAGAAGAAGAAGAAGAAGGAGAAGAAGAAGAAGAAGGAGAGAAAGAAGAAAAAGAAAAAAAAGAAGAAGAAGAAGGAGAAGAAUGAGAAGAAGAAGAAGAAGAUAAAGAAGAAAAAGAAGAAAAAGAAGCAAAAGAAGAAAAAGGAGAAGAAGCAGAAGAAGAAGGAGAAAAAACAGAAGAAGAAGAAGAAAAAGGAGAAGAAGCAGAAGAAGAAGAAGCAAAAGGAAGAAGAAUUGAUGAAGAAGAAAAGGAAGGAGGAGGAGGAGAAAAAUAAUUGGGGGUAAUUUAGUCUUUUACUAUAUUUUUAACGGCAAAAAUAGACAGAAGGACUAUUUCGUUGACGGAGAGAAAACAUAAGGACGUUUUAAUAGGUUUUUGAAAAUACAGGGACUGACUUGUUAAUAAUGGCAAUACCCAGGGACUAAAUCGUAAAUUACCCAAUAUAUAAUUUGGUUCAUAUACUUAUUAAAUUUAGUUAUAAAGUUUUAUUUUGUAAUAAAAUAGUCCCUUUGGUUAUAAUUCUUCCCUAUAUUCUUACAAAUUGCUCCCUAAAUAUUAUAAUUGUUUAUAAAUAAAAAUUUAUUUAUUUUUUAUAAAUUAAUUUCACAUGUUUAUUAAAUUUAAUAUCUUAUAGUUAGAGAUAAAUUAAUAAAAUAAAAAUUAAAUAAAAAAUCUUAGCAUAAUAUACAUCUAAAUUCAAGUCUAAAUAGUCCUUUCUCAUUUAACUUUUCCCUUUUCAAUGAUUUUUUUUUAUUUAAUUAUGACAAAAAAGAGAUAUUAAAUUUUUUUAAUUUUUUUAUUAUUUUUCACAUAUAAGAUAUUAAAAGCUAAUAAAUAGAGAGAUUAAUAUGCAAAUAUAAGGACUUAUUAGUAAUUAUAAUAUUUAGAAACAAAUAUAUAAAAAUAUAAUGAUUAAUUUUAAUAAAAAAAUAUAAAAUUAAAAUUAAAAAUUUUGUAAUUAUCUCUAAAAUUAAUUAUGAUUUCAGUGGCUUAUGAGUUACACCAAAUGGAUGUGAAAAUAAUAUUUCUAAAUGAAAAACUUAAAGAUAAAGUUUAUAAGAGCAAUCUGAAGGCUUCUCAUUUGAAAGAAAACGCCACAUUAUGUGUAAAUUUAAGAAAUCAAUAUAUGAAAAUGGAAAAACAUUUUGAUUAUGGUAUAUUAAUUUUAAUGAUACUAUUAAAGUUUUUUAUUUUCUUAAAAAAUAUUAUUAACUAAAAAAUCAACGGGAGUAAGUUUAUUUUUUUAAUUCUAUGUAUUGAUGACUUAUUGAUUAUUGCAAAUAAUUUAGACAUGUUAUAUGAGACGAAAGAAUUGUGAUAAAUUAAACAAUUUCAAUAGAAUGAUAUGAAAUGUUAUGAAAUGGAAUAAAAUUUUAUAUUAUUUUUUGUAAGCAAUUUAAUAUAUAUUCACCGGAUACGUGCAAGGAAAGUUUAUGAUAUCUCUAAAAAACUAAAGACUAAAUGGUCUGUAAAGGAAAUCAGUUAGUCAAUUUUGUAUCUUAACUAACCCGUUAGAAUAGCUCUACAUCUAACUAAAUGCCAGCACACACUCCUUCAAUUCUUGGACUGUGGCUAGCUCAGGUUUUCUUUUGUAUAUGUACAUCAACAGUAACGAUUUAAAACAUACAAAAAAAAUGGAUUGAGGUUGCACCUGUUUAUGCACCUCCACCAACUAAAUUCUUAAUUUAUUUUUAUUUUGCUGGAUUCUUCAAUCCUUUUCAUGGUAUCAGAGCCUGGUUAAGGUUUAUUCUCUAAUCUCUGCAUUCUAUACCUUUGUUGUUUGAGAUUAGCCAAUAGAUAACAAUGAUGACUCCUGAGGAUUUAGCGAAGAUCAUCGCUGCUAUAAACACAAAGAAUAGCGAAAAUGAUCUGUAUCAUGUUAACAAUUCCGACGCUCCUGGAUUCAGUCUCGUAAACACUCCUUUGAGAGGGCCCAAUUAUCUCUCUUGGAGUUGGUCGGUUCAAAUAGCUCUCAGAGCUAAGAAGAAAUUAGGAUUUAUUAAUGGAAAAAUUAAAGCUCCGGCACUUGAUUCAGAUGAUUAUGAGAAGUGGUUAACGGCAGAUAGCAUGGUUGUAUCAUGGUUGCUAAAUGCCAUGUCUAAGGAUAUUUCUGACGCUUUUGUAUUCUGCAAAAACACAAAGAUACUUUGGGACGAGUUAAAGCACAGUUAUGGCGAGAGCAAUGGGCCCAUGAUUUACCAGAUAGAACGAGAUAUAGCCGGGUACAAGCAAGGUAGUAAUUCUGUGACAGAAUGCUACACAAGUUUGAAGAAGAAGUGGGAUGAGCUAUUGUGUUUAGCUCCACUGCCUGUUUGUUGUGAAACUGGUACCGUAAUUACAAAUUAUGACAGCAAUAGGAGAUUGAUGCAAUUUUUGAUGGGAUUAGGAGAUGAGUAUGACAACGUGAAGAAUCAAAUUCUUUUGCAAGAUCCUUUACCGUCAAUUAAUAAAGCAUACUCCAUGAUCAUGAGUGUGGAGAAACAAAGAGAAGUGCAAAUUGAUAGCACAUCUUCCUCUGAGACUGCUGCAGUAAUGCUUGCUAGAAGAAAUUUUUCUGGAAACAGAAGCAACACGGGAACUGGAAAUAACAGGGCUUCCUUUUCAUCUCGAAAAGAGGACAAGAAGAAGCAAUAUUGUACCAAUUGCAAAGGUGCAGGACACAUAGUGGACGAUUGCUUCAGUCUCCACGGAUAUCCAGAUUGGUUCAUUGAAUUACAGAAGAANNNNNNNNNNNNNNNNNNNNNNNNNNNNNNNNNNNNNNNNNNNNNNNNNNNNNNNNNNNNNNNNNNNNNNNNNNNNNNNNNNNNNNNNNNNNNNNNNNNNNNNNNNNNNNNNNNNNNNNNNNNNNNNNNNNNNNNNNNNNNNNNNNNNNNNNNNNNNNNNNNNNNNNNNNNNNNNNNNNNNNNNNNNNNNNNNNNNNNNNNNNNNNNNNNNNNNNNNNNNNNNNNNNNNNNNNNNNNNNNNNNNNNNNNNNNNNNNNNNNNNNNNNNNNNNNNNNNNNNNNNNNNNNNNNNNNNNNNNNNNNNNNNNNNNNNNNNNNNNNNNNNNNNNNNNNNNNNNNNNNNNNNNNNNNNNNNNNNNNNNNNNNNNNNNNNNNNNNNNNNNNNNNNNNNNNNNNNNNNNNNNNNNNNNNNNNNNNNNNNNNNNNNNNNNNNNNNNNNNNNNNNNNNNNNNNNNNNNNNNNNNNNNNNNNNNNNNNNNNNNNNNNNNNNNNNNNNNNNNNNNNNNNNNNNNNNNNNNNNNNNNNNNNNNNNNNNNNNNNNNNNNNNNNNNNNNNNNNNNNNNNNNNNNNNNNNNNNNNNNNNNNNNNNNNNNNNNNNNNNNNNNNNNNNNNNNNNNNNNNNNNNNNNNNNNNNNNNNNNNNNNNNNNNNNNNNNNNNNNNNNNNNNNNNNNNNNNNNNNNNNNNNNNNNNNNNNNNNNNNNNNNNNNNNNNNNNNNNNNNNNNNNNNNNNNNNNNNNNNNNNNNNNNNNNNNNNNNNNNNNNNNNNNNNNNNNNNNNNNNNNNNNNNNNNNNNNNNNNNNNNNNNNNNNNNNNNNNNNNNNNNNNNNNNNNNNNNNNNNNNNNNNNNNNNNNNNNNNNNNNNNNNNNNNNNNNNNNNNNNNNNNNNNNNNNNNNNNNNNNNNNNNNNNNNNNNNNNNNNNNNNNNNNNNNNNNNNNNNNNNNNNNNNNNNNNNNNNNNNNNNNNNNNNNNNNNNNNNNNNNNNNNNNNNNNNNNNNNNNNNNNNNNNNNNNNNNNNNNNNNNNNNNNNNNNNNNNNNNNNNNNNNNNNNNNNNNNNNNNNNNNNNNNNNNNNNNNNNNNNNNNNNNNNNNNNNNNNNNNNNNNNNNNNNNNNNNNNNNNNNNNNNNNNNNNNNNNNNNNNNNNNNNNNNNNNNNNNNNNNNNNNNNNNNNNNNNNNNNNNNNNNNNNNNNNNNNNNNNNNNNNNNNNNNNNNNNNNNNNNNNNNNNNNNNNNNNNNNNNNNNNNNNNNNNNNNNNNNNNNNNNNNNNNNNNNNNNNNNNNNNNNNNNNNNNNNNNNNNNNNNNNNNNNNNNNNNNNNNNNNNNNNNNNNNNNNNNNNNNNNNNNNNNNNNNNNNNNNNNNNNNNNNNNNNNNNNNNNNNNNNNNNNNNNNNNNNNNNNNNNNNNNNNNNNNNNNNNNNNNNNNNNNNNNNNNNNNNNNNNNNNNNNNNNNNNNNNNNNNNNNNNNNNNNNNNNNNNNNNNNNNNNNNNNNNNNNNNNNNNNNNNNNNNNNNNNNNNNNNNNNNNNNNNNNNNNNNNNNNNNNNNNNNNNNNNNNNNNNNNNNNNNNNNNNNNNNNNNNNNNNNNNNNNNNNNNNNNNNNNNNNNNNNNNNNNNNNNNNNNNNNNNNNNNNNNNNNNNNNNNNNNNNNNNNNNNNNNNNNNNNNNNNNNNNNNNNNNNNNNNNNNNNNNNNNNNNNNNNNNNNNNNNNNNNNNNNNNNNNNNNNNNNNNNNNNNNNNNNNNNNNNNNNNNNNNNNNNNNNNNNNNNNNNNNNNNNNNNNNNNNNNNNNNNNNNNNNNNNNNNNNNNNNNNNNNNNNNNNUGGGAACUGAAACUGAUUUGGCUAUGGGAACUGAAACUGAUUUGGUUGUGGUACCUGCAUCUCCACAACCGGUUCGUCGAAGUACACGACUGAGGAAAACUCCUGCCUGGUUGACUGAUUAUAUUACCAAUAAUACAUCAGAUUCCAACAUUCAUUUUUCCUCCUCUCAUAUGUUUUUUAUUGCCUAGCUAUCUAAAAUCAAAGAACCUUGCAAUUAUAAUUAUGCUAAAACUGAUAUGAAUUGGGUAAAUGCUAUGCAAAAAGAAUUGGAUGCUUUAGAACAAAAUCAUACAUGGAUUUUAACUGCUUUGCCUCCUAACGUUAAACCUGUUGGGUGUAAGUGGGUGUACAGGAUUAAAUAUAAUGCAGAUGGGAGCAUAGACAGAUAUAAAGCAAGGCUCGUCGCCAAGGGGUACAACCAGUUGCUUGGUCUCGAUUACAAUCAGACUUUCUCUCCUGUUGCCAAGUUAGUAACAGUAAGAAUUUUCUUAACUGUGGCAGCCGCAUAUUCUUGGCCAGUGAAGCAACUUGAUAUCAAUAAUGCUUAUUUGCACGGAUCCAUUGAUGAAGAUAUCUACAUGCAAGUUCCUCCUGGUUAUGACAAAGCGGAGAAGGGCCAAGUUUGCAAAUUGCAGCGAUCACUUUAUGGGUUGAAGCAAGCCGGCAGGCAAUGGAAUAAAGAAUUGACAGUCAGUUUGAUGACACAAGGUUUCAAACAAUCUUCUUUCAAUCAUUGCUUGUUUACUAAGGGUCAUGGAGGUUCUUUUAUUGCUAUCUUAGUUUAUGUUGAUGAUUGUUUGAUUACUAGUCCUUUAGCCACCUUAAUUACUGAUUUGCGGCAUUUUUUGGAUAAGAAAUUCACUAUUAAAGAUCUCGGCGAUGUUCAAUAUUUUUUGGGUAUCGAGGUGGCACGUUCGGCAUCAGGAAUGUUGUUAACACAACAUAAAUUCAUUACUGAUAUUAUUCAGGAUACAGGUUUGCAGGAUGCCCGAAUUACAGCUAGUCCGUAUAUUCAAGGCAUUAAGUUGAGUAAAGAUAUGGGACAGCCAUUGCAAGAUGCUGAGAUUUACCGGAGACUCAUUGGUCGGUUGCUUUAUUUAUCCAUGACCAGGCCCGAUAUUAGUUAUGCGGUUCAGCAACUUAGCCAAUAUAUGCAGGUUCCACAUACUAUGCAUCUAAAAGCUGCUCUCACCGUGGUGAAAUAUUUGAAGGGAACUAGUUACAUGGGAUUAUUUUUACCAGCAACAAAUGAUUUGAAACUCCGAGCCUUUUGUGAUGCUGACUGGGCAUCUUGUGUUGAUUCUCGUCGAUCCGUUACCGGGUAUUGUAUUUUCUUCGGUACUUCAUUGGUUUCCUGGAAGACUAAGAAACAGAAUACGGUGAGUCGGUCUUCUGCUGAGUCGGAAUAUCGCGCCAUGGCAUCUACUGUGUGUGAGCUUCGGUGGUUAUCUUCUCUUUUGACUGAUUUUCAUAUUACUAUUGUUCAACCGAUACCGUUACAUUGUGAUAAUAAGGCAGCCAUCCAUAUUGCUGCUAACCCAGUCUUUCAUGAGAGGACAAAACACAUUGACAUUGAUUGUCAUGUGGUUCGUACUCAGCUGCAAGCAGGUUUCAUUACCACUCUGUAUCUCCAUCCUCCUUGCAGCUUGCCGACAUGUUUACGAAACCUUUACCUUCUCAUUCUUAUUCUACAUUUGUGUCCAAGCUUGAGUUGGUUGAUUUCUCCCCAACACCAGCUUGAAGGGGGGGUGUAAAGGAAAUCAGUUAGUCAAUUUUGUAUCUUAACUAACCCGUUAGAAUAGCUCUACAUCUAACUAAAUGCCAGCACACACUCCUUCAAUUCUUGGACUGUGGCUAGCUCAGGUUUUCUUUUGUAUAUGUACAUCAACAGUAACGAUUUAAAACAUACAAAAAAAAAUGGAUUGAGGUUGCACCUGUUUAUGCACCUCCACCAACUAAAUUCUUAAUUUAUUUUUAUUUUGCUGGAUUCUUCAAUCCUUUUCAUGGCCAUUUAUAGAAAGUUUAAUCACUUAAAAGUUGUUAGAUUUCAGUAUAUUCUUGAUGUUGCUUUAUACAUUUAUGUCAAUAGGAUUAUUUAUUUUUAAUAGAUAUAUUGGAUGAUUCUAAUUUUAAUCCACCCACAAUGCAACCCAACUUUACGGCUGUGAUGAAUACAAUUGAUUGGAAGUAUAAAGUGGUAUAUAGAUGUGUAUAAUUUAUUUUUUUCAUAUGGUGGAAAUUUUAUAAAAAUUACUCAUAUAAAUUUUUAAUUUUGUUUUGUACUAGAAUAUCCCAAUUAAUUUUGCAAUUCAGCUCCUUAGAAUGAAUGGGAUGUGGACGAAAGUAUAAGGAUUUGAUAGAAGAAAAUGGUUAGUGAAAUAUGUCACUUGGUUUAGUAGAGAUGGAGUAUUUAGAAAAGCGAUAUUUGAGAAAGAUGGUGUAUAUUUUUUAAUGAAAAUUUAUUGGCCGAAGAUGAUGAGGUGGAAUUCACAUAUGAUAUUUCUGCAGGAGACAAGGUUGUCUUCUAUACUACUAUUAAAAUAUCUAGACUAUAGUUUAAGCCACCAUUAUUUUGAUGCUUGAGUACUUAGAUUUUCUCAAAAAAAAAUUGAGAACAACGUAACAACGUGAGAUAUGACGAGCAAACUCUAAUCAACAAAACUUCUUGAUAUGAUUAUUAUAAGCUUAUGCAAUAAAUGCUUUUAAUGCCAUGCACAUAAUAUUAAACUUUUUGCAUGAAUCAAUAUUUACUAUACUACAACAACAUAGUCUUCGGCCACUAAUAUGUCUUAUUAAAUAAUAUAUUAAAUAAAGAAAAUAUUUAUUUCCACCAUAUAACCCUCUACGUGGAAACUAUAUAUUGACUUUCUAAUGCUAUAUGUAUAUAUAUAAAUUUCUUUUCUUUGAUAGACUUCUUUUUUUUUUUCACCAUAACAUGGAUAGAACUCCAUAUAUGAGGAUUAAAAGGUCCAUCAACUUGCCUACAUCUCCGACAAUGUUGAAAGUAAUAUACAUCAUCAUGAAGCAACAAUUGAAAGAGAUGAGAACUGAAGUGAAACAAUUACUGAAAAGAUUAGUUCAUGAUCUUGGAAAGUAAUACAUAACAGUUACCCAAUUAGAAGAUAUACCACUCAUGAAAUCUUGUGAUAUAUUCCUCCGGUUACUUAAAAUAAGUGAUAACAGAACAGUUAAGGAUAAUAAUGUUAUUGUCAUAUCUGAUACGAACUUAUGCUCAGUAGUUGUCUCUUGUUCAGCCAUUGUCAUAUUUGAUACGUCAACUUCUGCUCAGUAGUUGCCUCUUGCUCGGCCAUUGUCAUAUGAAGAAUGAAAGAUAUUCCAAGUGAGUGAUAUAUUUUGUCAAUGCAUAAAAGGAUAUAUUUUGCGAUUAUUUGCUUUUUUGAUAUAUGUUUUUAUGAACCACCUAUAUAAUUUAAAAAUAUUUUUCUGCUUGUUAAUUGCUUCUUCCUUGAUAUAUCUCCAAGUUGAUAUUUGUUUGAAUGUUGAUUUGUCUUUAGCUUAUCUUAAUGAAUGGAUAACUUUGGUGUUAUGUUUAAUAAGAGUUUUUCUAUCAAGUUAUUUGGAUUAAAUUUAAUUUUAAUUUUUUAAUUUCCAUUGAUUAAAUUAAUCAUUUUCAAUAUAUUACAAAUAUCUCACUAGAUUAUAUCACCAUAUUUUAAAUAGAUUAUUAAUUUAAGUACAUUAUUAUUGUUUGUAAAAUGAAAAAAAAAAACAUACAAAUGAAAUACUUCAAAUUUUCUAAAAAGAAACUUCAUUUAAUAUUUUCAUACAAAUUAACGACAUUAAUAUAAAAUAUCUGUCCUCAAUUAACUUCACUUUUUUCUCUUUUCUGCAAUUUAAACUACAACAAAUAAUUUCUAAAUAAAAAAAUCAAUGUAAACAUCAGCAACAAAGACAUAUAACACUUUAAUGCAAUCCAUGUUUCUUUGUUUCAUAAUUCUUUUUGAAUGAUAAUUUUCAAAAAGAUAUGUAUUGCCAGUUGUUGCACGUUUUUGACUCCACAUGGGUUACCGGGAGAGAUUGUUAUUGUCCAUUAUUAAUGUCCAUUAACGUUUCAGACGAUAAAAUAAAAGAUAUAUCUUUUUCAUAACGAUAUGAAAUUAUACAUGUAUCGUUAACGUAUGUUAUAUGAUCUAUACAAGCUAUUGCGUACACUAAUAACAAGUGAAGCACACUCUUAUUGUGAGUUGUAUAUUAUAAGGAGUGAGUAUUCGGUCGCUUUGAUUUAAAAUCAUAUCAAAUCGAAUAAAUUAAAAAUUUAAAUUUUAAUAUUUAUAAAAACUAAACCAAAUCGAUUUUAAUUAAAAAUUAAAUCAAAUCAAACCGAUCUAAUUCAAUUUGAUUCAAUUCAAUUCGAUUUAAUCGAUUUAAAUUUUUAAUAAUUUUUUUUUUAUUUUUUACAUUUUAUUUUUAAUAUUUUAAAAUUUAAUUAGAAUAUUUUUAACUCUAAUACGAUCUAAUCUCUAUAUAUUAUUCAAUAAUAUAUUAUUAUCACUAAUCGAUUCGAUUUGAUUUUUUCAACUCAAAACCGAACUGAAAUAACUGAAAUUUUUAAAAUUAAAAACCGAACCGAACAGAAAUUAAUAAAAAAUAGAACUAAAUUUUCGAAUUAAUUCAAUUCGAUCAAUUUUUUCGGUUUGAACCGAAUACUAGUAACCUAAUCCAUAAGUUAUUAUUAAAGACAAUAUAAAUUUUUUUUUUCUUUCUACUGUUUGCCAUGAGAAAUUGUUUAAAGAAAUUGUUCAGAAUCGUGAAGUGAGUUGAGACUUGUGAAAUUGGUUAAAGUCAUAAUGAUGAGAAAUUCUAAUAGCUCAUCAUGGCUCCUAGCCUAAUAGAAACGAGCCAUAUUCAAGAAGGGUAAUCUUGUUAAAAAAUUCAAAACAAAUACAAAAAUGCCAUUUUGAGUUAGCUCAAAUUGAGUCCCGUAGCAUUAUUGACGUAAAUAACUGCUAUUAAAAAGUCAUUUUAAUGAAUAAUUCAACCAUUUAUAUAAAUCAGUAUUGAAAUAAAUUAAAAGUAUAACUUAUCCGGCAUUCCCCAAAAUUUAACAAACACACCUCAUCACUACCUAAAAACUAACACAGAUCAUUAGCAUCUCCCCUGGAAAUUUAGAUUUUUGCUAGCAGAGACUUUGUCAACUCUUGACAAUGUCAACAUCCAGACAUGAAAUACCCCUACAAAAUUGAACCAAGCUAUUUUAUAAAACUAGUGUUACUUGUCAAAGUAAAAAACUGUAAUACGAGGAAGUAAUGAUUUUUUCUUAAAAAUUUCCUUCUCCUUCCCACCCACUUCUUGACUGUUGCUAAAGAUCAAAGUCAGCCCCUGAAUAACAAAAAUGUCUGUCAAGUGCACAACUACGACCCUACUUGAAUCAAAUACAACAAUCACUAAAAGCACAAACAUGUGCAUCAUUUCUCCUCCAUGCGUCGUAGCACCGACUCGGCAAAUCUUUGUUGCCUGAGAUACAAAAUGGCCAAUGAAUUUGAUACUUAGUAAUAUUGAAUGCAGACUAUGACAUUUUAGUUAUUCUCAGUUUCAGAAUCAAUUUAGCAAUCAGAUGUACCAAAUAAUUUCUACAUGGAUACAAAAAUCUAGGACACUGGGAAUACUUCAUAUGAAAGACGGCUUUGCUAUACCCAGUGUGUAGCACAAACCAAUUAACAAUUGACAUGUAUCAUGAGUUUUACACUUACUAACAAAACCCCAACAAAGAUUGGAAUCAUGUGUCUGGAAGACGAGAUAUUUUGCUUACAUGGAUGAAUUCAGAAACUCUCUUAAGCAUCCAUCUCCAGUUCCAGUUACUAAAGCAUAAAGUCAAUAAUAUAAAUAAAGGGUUGAGCAUUAUUCAUUAAACUUAAUUAACAUAUCAAAUCCCUGAUACUUGAUUUAAUCUUUUCCUUUGAUUUAGUUUUUGGUUAAUUUAGUAUUAUAGAAAUAAAUAAACCUAUCUGCCAAGUUGAACUCUUGAAGAGACCUUUACUCUCAUAUUUUGACUUCAUUUGAUUGUCACCAAUAUUUAGGUUUUCGUUCCACCUUGUGCUACAAAUUAAAGUUUUGAAGCACUUGUUUUAUAAAGAAUCCUGUUAGUUACAAGGUAGUACAAGUAAUUGAUUGAAAGAAUUUGGGGAACUGUGGAUCUAUUAUCUCUAAGCACGUUAGGGUUGGACAUAUCAAGUUGUCAGCUUCUAUUAUAACUUACAAGCUAUCCCAGUGGGCACACCAAAAUUAGUUACUACUCGCUGCCUGUAAUAGUAAGAGAGACUGGAUAAAAAAAAUUAGUUUUACUUGUUUAAUUCCAAUUUAGAUGCAUUCUUUACCUGUUUGCAAUUUUCUAUUCUUCUUUGAUUCUUUUACUUACACCUGAUCCUUUCAAAGUCCAAAGAAAGCUUUCACCUCUUUUUAAAGACAGUGUCUGUCAACUUAACUAUUUGACUUCUUAAAAGAUAACUGAAACAACUGAGCAGACAGAACUUAAAUGUUUGGUUUGGUUAGCAUUAGUAGGAAUUCCAUUAUCUAUAUCAGUUAGAAAGCUGGCACUAACAGACAAAAUCGAUAAUAAAAAUAUCCACAGAAUUCAAGGAUUAGUUUAACCCAGUAGGUAUAGAUUGUAGAACAGGCUGUAACCGCAUCACUAUAAUGCUAAACAGGUGAGAUUAGUGUCCAGAGAAGCACAUGCUGGUCCUUCAGACACAGUACCAACAGGCUCAGGUGAAGUAAAGGUGAAAAAUUAUGGGCAAGAGAAGCCAUAAAACUGGCCACAGAGAGAGAGAGAGAGAGAGAGAGAGAGAGAGAGAGCUAUUGAAUUCCUAUCUAUGCAAAACUAGAAACAGGGUAAUAAUAAGGUGUCUGGAAGAGCCAGGGGAAAAAGCAUAGAAAUUAGAAAAGUUGUAGACUUACUUUCGCUCCCUAUGUUUUGGGCUAGGGCGAGAGUACUUCAGAUAUCCAUCCCAAGGAACCUUUUUGAGACCUGCUCGUACAGAUAUUAUGUCCCUGACCCUGCAUACAGCAUUCAAAAUGAAUCCAUGCAUCAUUGUGGAGAGUUUACAAAGGAAAUUUGUUUCCGUACAGAAGAUUACGACACCUGACAAAACUUUCUCAUGACAAUUAAAAAUAAAGUAAUUUACCUCUCUGCGAAUUCGAUGGGCGUCUCUCCAGGUUUCAGAUUUUGAGGCUCCAAGUACCACACAUCACAAACAACAGCCCAGGAUGUCAUGAGUUGCAGUAGAUGCAUUGUAAAGGACUGCCUGCACAAGAGACAUGUAAGACAUUUCACUGAUAUCACCAAAAGUAUGCCAAUGUCUUGAUAUCUGAAGCAUAUGAUAAAAUUGGACACCAGGAUAUUUAGCCCAAAUUAGUAAAACAAAUAGAUUGGUCACUCCCAAUAACUCAAUAAAUUUACAUACUGGAAGGUUAAAUUUGAUGAAGUAUCAUCCUAGAUCACAAGCAUUGAACCAUUCUUGUAGGUGGUGGAUUAUGUGAAAGGCACUGAUUUUCAUUGUGUACUAUUCAUUUUUCAACAGGAUUGGAAGAGUAACAGAAAUGUUUAUGUAUCUCAUGGAUGGUCAAAGCAUCUUGUUCUGGUUUCCUGGUGUAAAUGCAUUUCUACUUAACAGCUUAAUUUUUGUGCAAAAAACAGCAUCUUGGAUAAUAAUAAUGAGUUGAGAUAGGUAUGCAAUAUUUUAUGGAACUUGUUGAGACAAGAAUGCAUUAGAUAUCAAAAAAACUAAGUGAAUAUCCUUACUUCCGGCUGUUCCAAAAAGCAUCAACAAAAAGUUUAUUGUAUUUGAUUGCAAUUGGGCAAACAGUACAGCCCAGUUCAAAUGCGCCCUAUACACGACAACGAGAAGAAAAGUCAAUGAAAACAACAAGAGUAAAGCUUAAAGUAACAAGAAGUUUUCCGCCCAAAUUUCUUAAUACCUUUUUGAACAUCACAGUAUAGUGGUUGUUGACACAAGUUCCUUCAGGAAAUAUAAGAAGUGGGUUAUUGUCAGCUCCCUGAACAUGUUCCCUUAACCUGAAAUAUAUAUAUUCUUAUGAUCAUUGUGCACAUAGUAUUGCAUUAAGGAGAUUUUGGCCUACUGCAUUUAAGCAUACUUUUUCGCUACAAUUUCACGAUCCUUUGACUCUGAACGAUUGAACCAGAUACAUCCUAGGCUCUCUAAUAUAGUGCUUUGCAAUAGUCCUACACAAAUAACAAAAUAAAAUUAAUCACUCUAUUCUGUGCCAUUCAAUUUAAAAUAUGCACAAAGUUAGCCUAAGUUUCAAGCACUGUAGAAAAGUUGGCAUUCCACUUCUGUUGCUGCAUUUUUCAGGAAAAUACAAGCAAAAACUAUUCAAUGGAAUUCAUUCCUGAGACUUUUAAAUUUAAUACACAGAACUACCACUUGGAUAUUAUUAGUUAAACACAAUAAUGGGUACUAUUUUUGUUAUUUUACUGCAAGGCACACAAUACAAUCAUACAAUCUAAACACUUACCAACCCAACCAGGAUGUUUCUGCAUAAUAACAGCAAAAGCAGUCAUCUGUUCUAAGAUGAUAAAAUCAAUCAUGGAGGUAUGAUUGGCCACAAAAACCUGGUCAACAAUAAACAGGUUCAUGUAAACAUAUGCACAUUCCUUGGACAAUCCAAAAAUGAUAAAUAGUCAAAACUUUACUAGGUAUGCAUAAAAUGCACUAUGAGCUGGUAUCCAAAUAAGAAAAAAGAAUUACUCAAAGGCACCUGUUUAGGUCGCAUGCUUGGCCGUGGCCCGUGGUACUUGACAACUCCAGUCCAUGAUGCCACAAAGAAGCUGCAAAUUAACUCCACCAAACACCUCUAGAAGGAAAACCAAAAACAAUAACGAGGAACUAAAUCCAGUGUAAUUUUCAACAGCUAAUAUGUAAAAAUUCAAGAGUGAAAAAAUAAAAAAUAGAAGUGAUAAGCCUUGGAAAGUAAGCUUCUUAUAUUUCAUGUGUAUUACAAUAUUACAAUAAAUCAGGAAGGCAUUAUAAUUUCUUUUUGCUCUACGCAUAUCUUUGUUUUCAACAGAUUAGAUACCCAUCAAACAUGUACAAAUAACUGAUAUGACCAAACAUAUCAAACAAAAUACCAAUAUCAGAUAAAUAUUACAAAGAGGAUUACAUUUCACCUUCUAUAUGUCCAGUUCUUUGAUAAAUUAAGUAGAACUCCUUGGAUAUCAUGGUUCAUUGGGAAGGAGGAAAACUAAUGGACCUUCCAUGUGAUUGACUAUCAAGGUGUUUAGUGUUUUCCAGCAUAUACACCAUAAAAUCAGGGAAUCCAACCUUUAAAUUUUCUGACAGCCAUUGGUACUAUUAGAUUUUUCAUACAGUCUAACAUCAUGUGUGAAUUAUCAGGUUGCUUAAGCAUAUACUAAGCUCUCCUAUCAGUCCUCAAUAACUAGAUGGCUUCAUGAUUUCAAAACAAAAGGAAAGUAUCUACUAAAUGGUACUUCACAUGAUUCAUUAAGUCAAAUUCUAGAAAAGUUACACACAGAAACAUAACACUGCAAAAACAUGGACUUUUACUCGACUUAAUAUACAAGUUAACAUAAACUAGUAUAGGCAACAAAAUCAUGACAAGAUAAAUAUCAAACCAUCCAAAUAUAUAAAACCAGAAUUUUCAAAAUUCCACUUCUCACAUUUAUACAUAAAUAUACAAAUUUUAAACAUUUAAAAGAAGUAUGGUGUAAAAGAAAGAACUUUAAGUACAUAAAUUAUUGGCACCUCUAGCUUUUUUCUCAACUUGUCAUUCCCUUUCAGUAGAAAAUGAACAGGUAUGUAGGACGAAAGAAAAAUAAUCCACCCUAUAGUCAGUAUUAGAACCCUGCAGAUUUAAUUGAGAUUCAUCAGGCAGCUAAAAUAAAAACAGAAGUCAUGUAGGAACUCAUUAAAAGUUAAAUCAUCAUCACAACCAGUAUCACUUUUAGCUGUCCAAAAUUUAAAACUACAUAAAAAAUAAAANNNNNNNNNNNNNNNNNNNNNNNNNNNNNNNNNNNNNNNNNNNNNNNNNNNNNNNNAAAAAAAAAAAAAACACAAUCAACCUUUUUGACACUGUCCCAAGGUUGUAUCAAGUAGGAGUCCAUUAAUACAAUGAACAUUCAAAAUUGGGCACAAGAAAGCAUUACAUAUAAAGUAAUCCCUUUACAAGACAGAAUGUUACCUGGUAGGGAACAAAAUCCCAUAUCGAAUUACCACACCACAACACCACAGGGGAAACAGAUAUAUAUUCCAAUUCCAUGGUUCUGGGGGAUUUGACUUGAAACAUCGUGUAAAUGAGUCCUGUUCAAUAUCACCAUAAGGGGGAAAAAGGCAAAUCAAAAAGGGAAAGGAAGAGCAACUUAUCAGUCUAAGCUAACAGAAAAUAUUUGCUAAAAAACAAUUCUAUUAAAUUCGUCUAAAAACAUUUUUGUUUCUUUUGGAUGAAGCAAUUUAUGAAUACAGCCCUACACCCAAUCAAAUGGAGCAAUAGGACCUGUGCAGUGACCACAUUUAGAUUGGGAAUAAGGCUUGGUUGAGUUCAAAUAGAGUCUUGUCUAGAAAUUCCUGUAAGUUUCAAUAGACUAUAAUUGUUUUCUUCCGAUGCAGCAUUUACAUUUAAGGGGCCAAAGAUACAUUUAAGUAAAAUCAACAUUUUAAAAUUUUAUUAGAAAACCAGGCCUCAAUGUUCCUACACUUCUUCGCUAAAAAGCCAAACUAAAAAUUUUCUUCACGUAAGUACAAAAAAAAAAUACGCAGGGAACUCACAUCAACAAUAGCACCAGCAGCCUCUGUUAGGAUUGGCGAAAUGUCAAGCAAAUCACGCCUAACAAAAAAUUAGAGAGGGAAAAUAGAAACCUUGAAGCUUAAAUUGCAAAUUGAACGAACUCUUAAGAGAGAGAGAGAGAAGGAAAGGUGUUUACAGGCGAAGCUUGCCGUGAGGUUCUUGAAUGGCAGAUCCGGAAGGAAGGUAAUCUUCGAUAUUGGGUCGAUCUAAGUCCAAUUCAGAGCUCGAGGUUUUUAGCUUAGCAGGACUUCUCAUCUUCGGCUGUGGCUAUCGUGUCUCGAUCAGAGAGAGAAAGAGAUGCUGUCUUUGUGACCCUAAAAGAUCGAGUGAUUUCAAGCGUUGUUUUUCCUCCUCAUUCUGUUAUGCCAACUCCAAAUUCUCUGUUUGUUUCGUGAGAAAUGGUUAAUUCAUUCUGUUUCUUUUGUAAGGAAGUUGGAUGAGAAAUUGAUUUCGUCCAUGCGCUUACGCAUACCAAAGCAAGGACCUGGUUUUGUCUAAUCAGCGUCGUGUAUUUCGACCCAAAAAAAUAAAUAAGUGUCGUCUAAGGUUUAGGCUUAGUUUUGUCUGGGAAGUAUUUCAUGUGGAACAUGUGAUAAUUUAUUUUUUAUUAUUUUAUUUUAAUUUAAAAAAUAAAUUAUAUUAAUAAAUUUAUAUAUGAAAAUUUUAAUAAGAUAUUUAAAAUAUGAAAAGUAAUUUUUCUUUUUAAGGUUAAAAUUAUUUUAAAAAAAAUUAAUUAAUUUAUCUCAAAAUUUUAAAAAUAUAUUUCAAAAAAUUUAUUUAUUAAUCUUUCUGUUAAUUUUAGCAGUUAAAUAUUAUAAAAAAAUAUAAAAUAAUUUUGAUAUAAAAAUUAAUUAAUUAAUUUUUUAAAAUUUAAAAAAAAUUAAUAAAUUUUUUAAAAUUAUAAGGACUAAUUAGUAAAAUAUUUAAUGGUAAAAUUGACACAAACACCUAUUAUUAGUGAAAAAUUAACUAGUAAAUUUUUUUAUACUAAUAGAAACCGAAUAGUAAUUUUUUUAAAAAAAAUAAUUUGAAUUUUUUUAUCAAAAAUAUAUUUUUUAUUAAUUAAAUUUUAUGAGUACUUUAAAUAUCAGAAAUGCAAAAAAAUACUUUUUUAGAAAAUAUUUUUCAUAAAAAAUAGAGGUUUAAAAAAUAAAUAAGCUACUUUUAUUUGUGAAAAAUAAUUUGUAUUUAGAUAAUAUUUAAUAUUUAAUAUUUUUAAUUUAUAAAAUAAAAUAUAUUAAUAAAUUUUUAUAUAAAAAUUUUAAUAAAAUUAUUAAAAUAUAGAAAAUAAUUUUUUUAAAAAAAUAUUUUAAUUUUAUUUAAUUAAUAAAAUAUUUUUUAUUUACUAAAUUUUUUGAAUAGCUAGUGGGAAUAUUUUUAUUCAAACAAAUGAAGCUUUAAUAACCUACAUUUUCUUGUGGGACAAUUUAAUAACAUAAAAUUAAAUAUUUACAUAAAAAGGUAUUUUAAAAUACAAUGUACAUAAGAUUUUACAAAAUCUCUAUUUUUUAAGUGUUAAAUGCUAAAAAAAUCUUGAAAUUUUUAAUUUUGAUUGAUGUGUUUGUUAAUUUCUAUAACUUAUCUUUAUUCUACUGUUAUUAACACAGUUAAAAAUUAACGGUAAAGUAGAUUCGCUAAAAAUAUAAAAAUAUAGAGCAUAAUUAUAAAAGUAUAAUAUAGAUUUUUUAUUUUUAAAAAUUAUAAUUUUAUCAUAAUUUUAUACUUUAAUUACUUAUUUUUAAUAGUUUUUUUAGAAAAACUUUAUUAUUAUUAUUAUUAUUACUGCUGUUAUUAUUAUGUCUUUUAUUUUUUUAUCUAAAUAAGAGUAAAGAAUAUUUAUUUUAAAAAAAUUAUUUUAUUUGCUGUAAAUCUAAUUUUUAUAAUUCUUUAAUUAUUGAGAAGGAAAAAAAAUAAUAUAAUUGAUAAAAUAAGAUAUUAUUAAAUUUAAUAUACAUAAAAAUAUUUAUUUCAAAAAACUGAUUUAUUAAUCAAAUAAAACUUCAAAAAUUAUAUUAUAGUAAAUUUAUUAAUUUUUUAAAUUUAAUUUAGUGCGUGACUAAUUUUAAAGUUCUGAGUAUAUUUAUUAAUUUUUUAAAUUCAAGUUAGUGCGCGACUAAUUUUAAAGUUCUGACUUUUUUGAUAAAAAAAAUAAAGUUUGUGAUAUAAAUUUUAUCUUUUAUAAAUAUUUGAAUUAUUUUUUCCAAUAAUCUUAAAGAAUAUAUUUAAAAUGGAAAGUUUUAUUAUUAUUAUUAUUAUUACUAUUAUUGUUAUUAUUAUAUCUUUUUUUUUUUAAAAAAAAUAGAUCUACUAACAAUAUAUCAAAUAUUCUCUUGAUUAUUUCAUUUAUUUUUUUAUUAAUGAAAAGUUUAAAUUUUGUAUUUUUUACAAUUAUACCCUGUGUUUUCAUAUUUUAACAGAUCUACCGUUCAAAGUUAGUGGCAUUAGUAAUGGCAAUAAUAUAAUAUCCCAGUAAACUCCGAUAUCAGAAUUUCAUCUUUUCAAUGAAAUUUCCAUUACAAUUCGAAAUCUCAAAAUUAAAAAUUUUAAAAGGAUAAAAUAAGUUAUAAAAUAAAAUUUUAAGUAUUUUAAAAUAUAUUUUUAAAAAAUGUUUUAAAAAGGUUUUAAGAUUCGGUCGCCAAAGGUGAUUUUUUCAAUCCACCUAUAAAUUGAGCUCAAUCCGAAAAUGGAGAGAGGUUUUCUCCAUUUUCGAGCAGAGGUGGGCAUAUGUCAACUCCUAAUAUUUUCUCGCUAUAUUUCUCUUAAAACUCUCAUAAAUUUAUGAUUUUCUUUUUAGUUUAAAGUUUUUGAUUGAAAAUGACAAAGUUUUAUAAGGUCUGGCUUUAUUCAUAAUCCUUUUCUUCCUCCUUCUGAAUUUUUUGUUGUUUUCUUAAAGAGGUAAGUUUUCAAUCCUUGUUUUUCUGUUGAUAUAAGGGGUUGAAGUAGGUUUGUUUCUAUUUUGGGUUGAUAGUUAGAAUGCACGCAAGUCCUUUGUUGAUUUUUGAAGUUGAGUUUUGUUUUAAUUUAAGAAUCUCUUUUUGAUGAAUGCAUGUUGAAGUUUAGGUUAGUUUUGAGUAGUCCUUUGUAUUCUGAGUUGCAAAUAUAUGCUUUUAGGUAUUGCAUGUGAGUUUGGUUAGGUUUUGAGGGCUAUUGACAGAAGGCAGAAUUGAGUUCUGCAUUGCAGAAGACCAAGGUUCGGCCGCUGAUCCUGCCUGUGAAGGCUGCUCUUCAGGCAGCCUAACCUGCCUAUGAAAGUUUGACUUUCAGAUCUAUAAAGGACUUGAGGCAGAGAAGAUAUGUAGAGCUGCUUAGUCAUUAUGAUUGCAAAAUAUAGUAUCCUUUGAGUACAGUAAACAUAGUGGCGGAUGCUCUUAGUCGGAAAUCACUUAGCAGUUUAUCCCAUAUCUCUAUGGAAAGGAGACCAGUGGUGAAAGAGUUUUAUAGGCUAGUCAACAAAUACUUAUAGUUAGAGUUAUCUAGUACAUGUAUUUUGGUGGCACAGAUGAAAGUGACACUUAUAUUUCUGAAAUAAGUGGCACAGAAACAACAUAAGGACCAAGAGUUGGUGAAAAUAGCAAGAGCAGUUCAGCAAGAUAAGAAUGAUGAUUUCAAGUUUGACAACAGAGGGAUUCUUCAUUGUGAAAACAACUUAUGUGUACCAGAUGACAUAAGAUUAAAAGGAGACAUUAUGGAGAGGCUCAUAAUCCAGGUGCAGUGUCCACCCUGGAGCUAUCAAGAUGUAUCAGGAUCUGAAGGAAGUGUACUGGUGGCUUUAUAUAAAGAGAGAAGUGACUCAUUUUGUGUCUAUUUGUGAGGUGUGUCAGAAGGUGAAGUUAGAACAUCAGAAACUAGCUGGAAUGCUCAACCCACUACUGAUUCUAACAUAGAAAUGGGAGCACAUGGUAAUAGAUUUUAUAGCAGGGUUACUGAUGACAUCAAACAGACAUAACUCUAUAUGGGUAAUAGUGGACAGGUUGACUAAAUAUGCUUACUUUAUCUCUAUCAGGAGUGGUUACUCUGUGGAAAAAUUGGCACAGAUCUAUUUGGAAGAAAUCAAUUAGAUUGCAUGGGUCUCCAAUUUAUAUAGUGUCAGAUAGGGGACCCUAGUUUACUUCUAAGUUUUAGCAGAGUCUACAGAAUAUUAUGGUUACAAGGUUAGAUUUUAGCACUGCUUUCCAUCCACAGACUGAUGGACAGUCAGAAAGAACCAUCCAAACCAUAGAAGAUAUCUGAAGGAUGUGUGUACUAGACUUUGGUGGUUCUUAGAAGCAAAAUCUACCAUUGAUAAAGUUUUCUUAUAAUAGUAGUUACCAUGCUAGCAUUGGGAUGGCUCCCUAUAAGGCUUUAUAUGGGAGGAAGUGCAGAUCACCUGUUUGUUUGAAAGAAGUAGGAGAAAGGGUUUUAGUAGGGCUAGAAUUAGUAGAGAUCACCAACAAAGUGGUGCCCAUUAUCAGAGAAGGAAUCAAAACAACCGUAAGUACGCAGAUGAACUAUGCAGACAUCCAUAGGAAGCAAGUUGUCUUCUAGGACGGAGAUAUAGUUUUACUUAAGGUGUCUCCUAUGAAAGGGAUGAUUCAUAUUGGAAAGAAAGUUAAACUAGCUCUAGUAUACAUCAGACCCUUUGAAAUCUUAUAAAAGAUUGGAAAUGUAUCUUAUAAGUUAGAUUUACCUGCUUCUAUGGAAAGAAUCUAUCUAGUUUUCCAUGUUUUCAUAUUACAGAAAUUCAUUUCAGAUCCGGGCAAGGUUCUUAGUGAGCCUGAUGUAGAGACCCUAGAAGAUCUCACCUAUGUUGAGCAGCCAGUAUGCCGCGUAAUAACUCUACCAAAGGUGAUCUUAUUACAGGAAUAGCUUUUAGCAUGCCUGUUACAAUUUUUACCACCCAAUAACCAUUGUAGACACGCAGAUUAGAAAACUGAGAAACAAGAAAAUUACGAUGUUAAGUGUUUUAUCAUAUCACCACAAUAUGGAAAAAUGUACUUGGGAGACUAGAGAGUUUAUGCUUAAAUAGUAUCCUCAUCUCUUUUGAAGUAAAUUGUUAGAUGGUUUUAUGUGUUUUCUUGAUGUGUAUGAUAUGUGUUUACAUAUAUGAUUGAACAUUUGAGAAUAAAUGUUCUUAAGGGGAAAGAAUAUAAUAUCCGACUACUUCAAUGGAAAGAAUCCAUCCGGUUUUCCAUGUUUCAAUGUUGAGGAAGUUUGUGUCAGAUCCGAGCAAGGUUCUUAGUGAGCCUGAUGUGGAGGUCCAAGAGGAUCUCACUUAUGUUGAACAGCCAGUACGGAUCCUAGACACCCAGAUCAGAAAGUUAAGAAGGGUAGACCAGGAGGUUAGCCAGAGUUUUGAAGUAUGUGUAUAUAAUAGUUAGAUGGUGGACAUGACAGUUGUACUAUAAUGUAAUGUAAGAGAUUACAGUAUGUUAUGUAAUGAGGUAUAUUGAGGUUAUAGAUGUGCUUGACCCUAUGAGUAUUGUUAUCCCUUUUGAUGCAUGAUCUUAGAUUUUUAUGAUACAGAUGUUAGCCAAACUCAACACAUGUAUAUCGCCCUUUGGGGCAUUGAUGAGAUCCCAUAGAGGGGUCAGGUUAUGAUGAUGAUUAUGUAUAUGUUCAGUGCAUGCACAGGUUGAGUUUGGUGUAUGAGAAAUGAAUGAAAGAAAAGUUUUAAAUUUUAUGUAUGUUCUUGAUCAUGUAUGGGGUUAAACAGGUUUCCAGGAUGUAUGUUUGGCUUGCUACG
rnacentral:lncRNA from 1 species